rnacentral:lncRNA from 1 species
AUAUGCUAAUGAAUAAUGGGAUUGCUCUUCUCCAGGGGCCAGGGGGCCUGCUUAUAUAGUCCCCUCAAGUGAACGUGGGCCGUCGGAUCAAACCGACCUUAAUCGCAUGGUUUGCCUUGAUCCUUUAGGUCUGUGGAGCAUAAUCCGCGAGACGGGACCUGAUUGGUCUCUAUAGCAGGGCAGGCGCCCAAGGGGGGAGGAUGGGUGCCCUGCCCCCGGGCCCGCUCGGCCUCCCAUUCGUUCCCGUGGCUUCUGGACUCUUCUAGAUGAUAGAAAAUUGCGCGGUACGUUAAUAUCUCUAUCUAAACCCGACAUAUGGGCCUUUCCUCCAUAUUUCCUGAUAACCCCCUACAGAAAUAGACAAACACCAAAACUCAUGGUAUUCUGUCAGAUAAAACCCUAAGUCUGGGUGUUGGUUGCAUUUGGAUCCUUUUCUUUAUUUAUUUGAUGAUUAAAUUUGGUACUUAAGGACCGUCAACAACUCCCCCAAGCUUACCUCUUGCUCGUCCCUGAGCAAGGAUGGACUCAAGAGUUUUUGCAGUGGUUUCAUGCCUUAAAAGUACACAUGCGUUCAAGCAAGAUCUCAUCUCUGAGUUAGAGUAAACUGUUAAGACUUAAAACUUACUCAUUUUACCUUUCACCAUGGGGCUUGCAACCAUCACUUAUGUCUUGAGCAGUUAAAAGAUAGAACGGUCAAGUCAAGCGCCAUGUCUCUUGUUCUUUGAUUAACUAUAGCUCUAGAGUUUUUGCAGAUUUUCAAAUAAAACUCAGAGAUUCCUUGUAUGACUCUCUCAAAUCUCUCUUUUGUGGUAUUUCUGGAUCCUUUCCAAGGCAGUAAUGGUAUAUGCCUUCUCUCAAAGUAUGUGGUAUUUUUGGUAUGAGGCAUAGUAAUAUUGCCUUCUCUCUCACCCUACUCUAAUAAGGUUUUGAUAUCUGGAGCUCAUAGGUGGGAGAUAGAUAAUACAUACUUACAAGACAUUUAUUGCAUAGUUAAACCAUGGAUCCAGAAGAACAAGUCAAUAAGUCAAAUCAAGAUGUGCAUGUGUGGCGAAUGAAUGGUGUAUGGUGAUGAUGGUGAUAAUGGUGAAAACAAUGGUGAAAGUCUAAUUCUACUUUUGCUCUUUUAAGGGGAUACAUACCUUUCUUGCACUUUGAAGCUUUUUGAGGAGAAUGAGAUGCUCUAUAUUUUCUUUUUCUUUUCUCUCAGGUGGGUAUCUUGUACCCCUAAUUCUACUAUCGGACACUUGUCCAUUUUUACCUCUCGUCUCACUUUUUCUUUUCUUCGAGGUUCCGGGCACUUGCCCCUUUUUAUUUCCUCGUAUUCUUUCUCUCUCUUUUUUUCUUUUUUAGAGCACUCAUCUCCUGAAAUAAUAUAGCAAGUGGUAGUAACCAAGAUAACUCAAGCAUUUAUUUUACAGGAAAAAACAGAAAUAGGAGAAUGUUUUUGGCUAUUCUCUCCCGGAUUAGGAGUAGAAUACUUUUAGGUGGCUCUGAAGAUGCAAAUGAGUGGAUAUAUGUGGAUGCGUACUUCCGGAGUAGAAGCAGCAUGUGUGAGUGAACGUGCAAGUGAAUCUUGAUUUUUAACCGCAUGACAAGCUCCGAAGGGUCUACACAGCUUGACCACACUCAUGCUCAUAAGCAGUAAAAAGUAAAUGUCUGGCUCAAAGUCUAGCAAGCAUGUAUAUAUGGCUGUGGUAGGAAUUUAAACUCUCAUCAUACAGGAACUCAUCAUGUGUUAUUUUAAAGAUUUUCAAAGAUAAAAUUCUCCAGAAUUCUAGCAACUCUAGGAACAGAAAAACAACAACUCAACCUUUCCAUAUCAUAUCCAUUAACGACUUAGACUUUAGAUCAAGUACUCUUCCCACAAGUUUAGGUUUAGAGCAAGUUUAAAUUAUAACAGUUAUGCCUAAACUUGAGAGAGAGCUCAAACUUGAAAACUAGGUACAUGGCAGAGCAACUAUUUAUCAUAUCCAUGUAAGAGUUUAUCAUUUAUGUUCAGUUUGGCCUAGACACUUUAUUUAUUUAUUUAGCAAACAAAGCAAAGAUAUAUAUAAGCACAAAAUUUUUAUUUGAGCUUUUCAUGAUUAUGCAUCUUUUUAAUUAUUUGAGUAAAGUAUAAACGUGAGUAGAAACACUUAGCUGGAUAAAUGGGGGUGCUCUCCCCCAAGCUGGAUUUUGACGUAAUUUCUUCUCAUGUAGCUAGCAGGUGACAGAGGUGUAUUUGAAUGUCGGCAGCACCCUAACAAUGAUUAUUAUGUCCUCUACCGGCUAGUCUUCUUUGAUCCUUGAAUUCUGUGGAGCUCAAAUAGACAACAAAGCUUUGUGGAACUCAUUAAGUGUUGGCAUAAAAUCUCUUAGCCUUUAUCAUAUUGAGAUUCCUCCUAAUAAAUUUUAUUUAGCAGGAUCAUGCACUUAUUAUUUUUAUAUUUUUAUUGUAAGAUGAAAACAUAUUUAUUUUAUGCCACCACAGUCAAUAUACCUAUGGGUUUUAAACCACAAAUCUACUCACAUGGGGCUUUAGAUUUUAUGAUGCAGUGCAACGAACAAAUAUUUUUGGUUUCUUUUCUAAUGCUAAUGUGGAAAAGUAAAUAUGCUAAUGCAAGUGACGGAAUAAAAAAGAAAAGGAAUGCAGAAAAGAUAAAAAUGGAUAAAUACCGAUUUUACCUUCCGACAAGGAUCCAAUAUUUUAAGUCUUCUGGACAAGACUUCUCACCGUGUUCAUCCUUUAGGUGCAUCAUUUGAUUAGGUGUGGGCCUUGACAUCUGCACCUCUUGAUACGGUGUCACCCAUGUUCUUUGUUUGUCUAGCAGUUCGAGGUGCGACAUUGGCAGUAUCUUGCUCAGUGUGUUUGUGCUCGUAGAUCCACGUCCUUCACUUGGUAGAGUCUGGGAGUUGAAAAAUCCUCCAUGUUUCUCAAAAUGUGUCCUGCUCAUAGAGAUAAGGCAGAGAUCAAGUGCAUGGGUCCUGUUGGUGGAAAACACUAACAGAACCAAAAGUAUAUUUAUUCUUCUCUAUCCUUAAGCAUAGGGAGCAAGACAAAGUUGAUGGGUGAUAAGUUCAUGAGUGUACCAUUUAAAACAUUUGUCAGAUCAGAUCGCUCAACCUUAUGGAAAGAUAAUCUAUCUAUGUAUAUGUCUUUUUCUUUAUAUCUUCCCAAAGAUUGAAUGUGCAACAUUUUAGCUCAUAUGAUUAGGAGUGUAGGAUCAUGGAGGUAGUACUAGGAACAAAGAUUAAAGGACUAAACAUGCUGAAUCAGUUGGGUUAGUUAAUUUGGAGUUAUAAAUCAUACAUGUUUAUCUCUUUAUUUAUGUAAACGCCGGAACCAAGGAGAAGCUUAUAAAAGUGAUAGUCACAUACCUUAAGAUGUUACCUUAAUUGAAGAGUGAUGGUACCAUCUCACCUUGUGAAGCUUCCCAUUCGUCAUGGUUGUGUAUCUUGUUUAUGUACUUUGUCUCCUUCCAUGGAUCAUCUCUCUAUGAUGAAUGAGUUGUGUCCUUCUUGUGCAAAUUGUUAAACUUCAUGUGUCUCUCUCUUUAUAUCUGAUGUGAGUUUAUCUCAGGACUUUCCAGGUUGAUAUUGAAAGUUUUUCCUGCAGGGGUUAGUCUGACAAAAUAUACUAAUGUCUACUCAAGCAGUUUUUAGUUCAGUAACCAAACUAGACUCCAUGUCUAAUCAGAUUAAGGAAGGCUGUUUAACCUAAGCACCAUGCUUAAUUUAAAAGCCAAUAGAAGUAUGUGCAGUACUUCCAAACUAACACUUACUAGGAUAAACAAAGGUAGCGUGAUGGCUUUUAUAGAUAUCUACUCAAGUGGAGAUGAAGUAGUGUGAUAAGUAUUUAACAAAUUGAGCAUGUCUCAAAAGUAGGGACAACCAACAUAGCAACAUGGCAAAGGAUGUUCUUAUGUAAGGUAUUGCCCCCAAGCUUGAAUUUUGCAAAAUUCAAGAUUGGAUGAAUUUAAUUCAAUGUUGCAUGAUGAUUGGUUGGGCAUACCUUGCACUUGUCAUUCAUCCGAUUUUCUUGCUCCAAUCCUAGAAAGGUUAGUGUCACGAAUAGCCGAAGGAAUAUUUCUACAAUUAUAUUUAUAUGCUCAAUACACAAGGAAAUGUUACAAAUAAUUUAAAGUUCAUGUUAUGAUCUGAUAAGUGCUUGUUUUAGGACACUAAGCUUGUCCUUGGGAAACCAUCAAAUUAUGUUGGUGAUGUGGUUUCCCCUCCAACACCAACCUAAGCGUGCCUAUAUCAAGAUCGACUCAACGAUAUCUGCAAUAUUUAUUAUAGACAUAUGCAUCGAUAACCACCCCUUUAAAGUUUUUAUAUAUAGAAAGAAAGAGGGGGUUGGAGAUCUCAAAUGUGGUAAGGUUGGAGAGACCAAUUGAUUGGGGAGAUGUUUUAUAUGAGCAAGGACUUGGUGAGGUAUUUAUGAAAUAACUUCCAUGCUCACUGUUGUUUCUCUCAUUCUCAAACUCCAAGGAUGAUUCUUCAUGAAUGUUUAAAUUUCCUCUAGGAUUGUCUCUCAAGUUUGUUUUAUCCAUCCAUUCAAUGGUGAUAGCACAUGGAUUUUUAAUGCCCUCUAGCCAUUGAUGUUGCUCUUCUCGAUCCUCCUUGUGGUCUUGGUGACUCUUAUGCAUGGGAUGUCUAGAGAGAUUCAUAGGAUCAUCGGGAGGUUCAAGAGGAAGAGCAUAGUAGAAAUUAUUAGGCUCAAGGAUGGGUUUAAAGAUAGGUUCAAAUGAGUCAUCAAAAGUGGGUGUAGAAGGGGAGAAGAUGAGAUUGUCUUCUAAAUGGCUUCGCUCUCCUUCUAUUGCAUCACUUAAGAUGCCAUCCUUGAGUCUUUCUAGAUGUCCAUCAAAGGGAUUGGAUUUGAGAUGCUUUCUAAGAGAUCCCUUCUUAGGAAGGUUCAGACUAUAUGCACUUAAAGGUCUCUUAUGAAGCAGGAAGUUUAAGCUCAUCCCAAAAUGAAUUUCCAAAGGUAGAAUUUCUUCUUCUCUUAGAUUAUUUUGGAGCACUACAAGUUUGGGUUGGAUAGCCAAAUCACGAGAAUGAAAUGUUUGGAAAUCGGCUAUUGAAACUUUCUUUCCUUGUCUGGGAGAUGAUUCCUUCUCUAUCUCUAGGAUUUUUUUAUGAAGACUAGUGCAAGAAGGAUGUCCCCGAAUGAAGACAUACGUUGCUUUACUAACAGAUAAAGAAAGAAAAACUCUACCAAAGGUUAUAUGAUUAAGACCAAUGUGAAAAUAUCAAGGAAAAACAUGGUCUUGUAGGGCUAGGUUUAAACCAGAAUUUAUAGAAAGAUUAAAAGAUUCCCUAGGUGUAGCUAAAAGUUCAUUAUCUUCUUGAUUAAAAGGUAGGACCUCGGCUAUAGAAAAGGGUUAGUUUUGACCUAUUGCAAUCAACUCCGGACACAAAUCAUAAUUAGGAGCAAAGAAAGGACUUGUUGACUCCCAUGGUCUAUGCCUGGUCUCCGAAGGUGCAAAAAAUUCAAUAAUAGGUGUGGAAUUUGAGUUAUCCAUAAAGAUGAAAAAAAUAAAAAGAUAAAAGAAUAAAAGUAUAAAAGUAUAAUACAAGAUAAUAGCAAGACUUAAAGUUAUCCCAGCAAACCGUCUUUCUCUUCGACAACGGCGCCAGAAAUGCUUGUUGAUAUUUGGUAACGCCAUCAGAAAAUGAUCCGCAAGCGCACGGAUAUCGGUGAGCACUUCACCCGGGAGGUUAUCCAGAGUAUCGUAUUUAUAUUUUCACCACUGGGAGAAAGCGUGCAUCUGACUAACUAAAUCUAUUGCUACUACCCUUUAGGCUACAAACAAUAUGAUUCGAUGUGAGCGAUGUAUAGAGAAGACUACAACCGUACUCUCGUUCUAACCUUGGUAAGGAUGAUCUACUAUUCUAUUGGGGAGGCUCACGGAAUCUAGACACCAUAAAAGAUGUUCGACCCGCACCUAUAAACCCUAUCGAUUUUGCUAACGAGAUGUGGGCUACAAAGGUAGCUCGGAAAUGUCACGUUCCUCACUACUACCACGGUCUGGCUAGACAGGGGAUAUCUAUGAGUACCCUAGCCCAAACACCACGUUUACGCUAGCAAUGAUUACUCUAAACUCAACCGGAAGAGACUAAAGUAAACUCAUAAACCAAAGAACAAUAAGAACAAAGAACUUACUAGAAUUUAGAAGUCGAAAUACUGAAGAAUCCUAGGAGCAAGCCUCGGGUUAGGAGACUUGAUCCCGCAGGUACAACCUCGAAGUAGAGACCGACAGGCCGGGCUUCCUCCAAUCUACACCUCCACUCUAUCUCUCUCAAUCUAGUAGAACUAAUUCUACUCUCACAUUGGAUGCUAAGCCCUAUGAGGUUAGAUCCCUAGAGGGACCUCUCUCUCUGAUCCUCUCUGGAAAAUAUGCUAAUGAAUAAUGGGAUUGCUCUCCUCUAGGGGCCAGGGGGCCUGCUUAUAUAGUCCCCUCAAGUGAACGUGGGCCGUCGGAUCAAACCAACUUUAAUCGCACGAUUUUCCUUGAUCCUUUAGGUUGGUGGAGCAUAAUCCACGAGACAGGACCUGAUUUGUCUCUGUAGUAGGGCGGGCGCCCAAGGGGGGAGGGCGGGCGCCCUGCCCCCGGGCCUGCUCGGCCUCCCGUUCGUUCCCGUGGCUUCUGGACUCUUCUAGAUGAUAGAAAAUUGUGCGGCACGUUAAUAUCUCUAUGUAAACUCGACAUGUGGGCCUUUCCUCCAUAUUUCCUGAUAACCCCCUGCAGAAAUAGACAAACACCAAAACUCAUGGAAUUCUGUCAGAUAAAACCCUAAGUCUGGGUGUUGGUUGCAUUUGGAUCCUUUUCUUUAUUUAUUUGAUGAUUUAAUUUGGUACUUAAGGACCGUCAACACUUGCCAAGAAGGCUGCUCCUGCAAGUGAAUCGAAGAACACAAGCAAGAAUGUAUAAACACGCAAUCUGAAAUUGCAGAUAUGAAUGAUGGAAAUAUUCAAAUGAGGUUUCAAAAACUCAGUUCCAAAGGACUAAUCGACACAGUGGAGGAGAUCAAGAACUGCGGUCUGGAUAACUAUAAAAGGAUUUGUCACCAUAGUUACAAUGAACAAUUCAGUUUCUCGAUGGAAAACUAAACUCUAAACAAAACCUGAGUCUAAGCAGCGGCGGCUGCAUGGAAUAUAAAGGAGAAGUGACCUAGGGUUGGAGGCAACCAGGGGGAGGCGCCCGCAACAUGGGCUUAAGGCCCAAAUUCGAUACAUGACCAAGUUGGCCUAAAAUUGGUGACGCAGCACCUUGUCGUUUAAUCCACUGUUGACACUUCAUAACGCAACCACCGGAUAUCGGCGACGGCGCCAGAAGUGCCCUGGUAGGGUAACUCUAUUUACUAUUGGAUAAUUCCGCAAGCGCACAGAAUGUACCGCUGUAACACUUCACCAAGGAGUAUUCCAAGGUAUCGUAAUUUAUAUUUUCCCAAGGGAAAGCGGCUAAGUGUGUUUAACAAAAAGGGGAAUGAGAUUCCUUGACUUAUCUAGUAUCAACUAGUGAAUAAGGGUGGUAAAUAACGAAUAGGAAGGGUAGUGGUGAAUCCAAGGUCCUAUGCUAAAGGUAAAUGGUAGAGUUAGCUAGGUGGGAGGACAACGAGUGAGUAAAGGACUCCUAUGUAUCUAACUUGACUUCUGUGACUUACUUUAAUAGAUAAUUGCCUUAACUACGCUAGAGCCUUACUAACUGUGUGCGAGGGAUAGCCGAGCUGGUAAGACGCUUAGAAGGUUUUUCACCUAACCCCUUACCGAAAGCGACUAUUGGGCUUAUGGACGCCUUACCUUUUAAGAACUAGCCUGUACGUGAGGAGAACCUAAUGCCACCCACGAUCUGUCACCUACUAGGGAGUGCGCUCCUACUUUCCGUUCAAGCCAGCGGUAAUCAAAGGUAAUCUUAAGUAUGAGCACCACGCUCACACUUAAUCCUACAACGCUAACUAGUUGCAGCUAGCUAGAGCUCCUAUACAAGAUAGGACGAUGAUGCACACACAGGAGUGGUUACAGGUCACUAACUUCACUAAGACAACUAUAUUACUAAAGUAAAUGCACAACAAGACUAAAAGACUUGCACUAAGUAAGAACUCAGUAAAGUAAAGUAAGAAUAAUAUAUUAAUAAAAGGAAAGUCUUACAAAAGUAGAAAGGUACAAGAGCUAUACCAGACUCUCCAGAAGACGACUCCGGAGACCCCGAGCUUCGCUCGACUCGACUCUAACUCCCACUCUAGACUAACUACUACUCUACUUGUAUGCUUGGAACUUGUAAUGCACUUGGCCUUGGAAUUGCACACUUGAAAUGAAGGGUGGAGGCUGCCUUUUAUAGAGGGAGAUGGAGUAGGGGUUACUCCAUCGCCACGUCAUCGAUCCGCGUGACAUCUUCUCUCCACCCUUGGAUCAAACCGACCUCACAACCGCCAUUUGAUCAACGGCAGGGGCAAAUCAACAUGUGGGACAUGUGGGGAAGGUCGGUGGGAGGCCACCGACCCUGGAACCGCCUUUGAUGUGGGGUCGGGCGACCCCACUUCUGGGCCUCUGGGCCCACCAGCAGUGUCCACAGGGGUCCCUUAUGUCGGUGGACUAGGUGGCACACCUGGGUCCCACCAAAGAGGGGUCGGGCGACCCCCUCCCUGUGGGCCCAGGGUGUCACCUAUUGUCCCCUCGAUCUCCUCUUGAUGAUUCUGAUGUUGGCUUUGUCAAAUAAUGUCUUGAAUUUGUUGUUCCUGCAUAAACAAGCUAAGAGUACAAGUGGAACUAGUUAUGGAUAAAAUAUGUUCAUGUCAUGUCGUUUCCUCUUGCAACCGAGGCAUGUUGACGGUGUUUUGUAUGUGGAUUUCUAUGGUAUAUCCACCGUCAACAAGAUCCCCCAAGCUUAACCUUUGCUCGUCCCGAGCAAACAAUCAAACUUAGCCUCGGUGGAUCAGGUAUUGUUACUAUGUUCACAUUUCAAGAGUACCAUGUGUACAACAAAGUUCUUCUCUUUGCAUGAAAAAUUUAGCUAUGUAAACUUACCCCUAUUACCUUAGUCCCUUAUGGGGCUUAUGGCUUUUCCUUUGUCUUAGGUGGUUGAGAGACAGAACAGUUUGACUUGAGCACUAACUUUCUCAUUCUUAGCAAGUUUCAUAUCAGAGGUUUUGUGAUAUUUUCAAAAGAAAGCUUAAAUGUUCCUCUUAUGGUUCUCUCAUGUCACUCAAAUGGUGUAUGAUUCCUCACCAAGGCAUAUGGUAAGAGUUGCCUUCUCUAUUUCAUCCUAUUUCUAAAAGGCUUAUGUGGAGUUCAAGGUAGGGAUGAAAGGAGAUAGCAUACUUACUUUGCAUGUAUUGCGAAGUCAAAGCUCGGAUCCUUGAAGAUAAGUGUCAUACUCCUAGAUCAAGAUGUGCAAGUGUGAUAUAUGGUGGACUAGGUUGCUCCUUUAUUUGAUAGACUCUCUAUGUAUUGAGACAUGGCUAGCAUUUUUUUCUUCUUUUUUUUUAUAUAUGAGCUUUCAUGUGCUCAAUUUUCUUUUUCUGUGGACUUGCGCAUGUCCAUCUUUUUAUUUCAUUUUGCCUAGCCCUUUUGAUGUCUCAUUUACCAAAUAAUGCUUAGAGAGAUGUUCUAACAUUUAGAGUAUGGAGCAACCUAUUUAGUGGAUGCGAAAUACAUGUGGUUGCGUACUUCCAGUGUAGAAGCAGCAUAUAUAUAUGUGGUGUGUACGUGAUCUUGAUCUUAGGAGCAUGAAAAGUCUCUUAACAAGGGUCAACAAGACUUGACGACACUCAACACAAAGCAAAUAGCUUAUGUGGAAAGGUUGCAAUUAUGUAAAGUAGAUAUGGCUGUGGUAGGAAUUCAUCACCAUUGAGGAACAAUUAAGGUUUUGAUCAUUUUAAGAAUAAAUCUCUGAUAAUCAUGCAUGCUUAGAAAAAUAUUAUAGUAGCUCUUGUCUUACUAUCUCAUGUCCCACAACAACUUAGACUUAGUUCUAGCACUUGCAACCCACAAAGUUUUUAGGUUCAUGGCAGUUUAAGUGAGCUAAGUGAUCCAUACUUAGAGAAAUACUAAGUUGUAUACUAGGCACUAGAGAAACAUUAACAAGCAACUAGUCAUAAUUUCCAUGAGGGAUAUAAACAUACAUGAAGCAUAUAUGCUAAAGGGAAAUGCUAAUAAAUAUUUAUUUUUUUUUAAGUAAGAAUGAUAAAAUGCAUGAAAAUAAAUAGGAUAGAAUACUUACCUUAGUGGGGGAGAGGAUCUCCCCCAAGCUAGAUCUUCGCUCACUAUGUUGGCGGGAAAUUUUGGUACCAUCCAGCCCAGCGUUGUGCGUCUUCCUCUCGCACACGUCGGAUAUGUUGGCCGUUUUGUAACGCCAGUUGCAAUGUUGCUUCUUGCCCAAUCUGCAAUUCGCCCAUGUCAUUAAUGAGACUGUCCAUACCUGUGGGCUGGUGACGCCUAGCCCUGUCCCUUGGGCGUGGAGUGCGUUGUGGAGGUAGACCCAUGGAGUCUGAAGCAUCCACUGACAUCGCUUCAUCGCCCUCUUCAACGUCAUGGUGCGAGGAUCCUCCUUGCUCCAUCUGGGCGGCUUGCAUCAUCCUUCUUGUCACCCUGCGUGUCCCUGCAACAUCUGGACUUGCCACUCGGGCUAGUCUAAUGGUAAGUGUGCGGACCCCAUACAACCGGCGCCUCGCACAUGGGAGAGGAAUUUCGGUUGUAUAGCCCGGAUAAAUCAUUCUAAGUUCACCAUUUGGAUCUCUUAUGAGCAUGUUAGCAUUGAUAAAGAAGUUCUCAUCUACCACUCCUCUAACAUAGCCAAUGUCUUCAAAAUAAUGUGAUUCAAGUAAUCCAAAAGUAUCGGCUAUUCGAGUAAUAAAGGAUGUGAAAUAGAUGGGCUUCCCAUACUCAAUAGAGUUAAGCCAAUGGUUCACUAGCAGUUUCACAGGGGAGACCUUGAUUUUACUAACCAUGGCAUAGAGAAUUUUAAGUUCAUCAUCAAUUAAAGUAUCAGUUCCCAUGCCAGGAUAUAGAGUGCACAUGAUCCAGAAGUGAAGAAAGCGCAAGGUUGGAUUAUGGAUUUCAAUGGGAGUAGGAUUUGAACAAUCAUUAGAGCCAGAAAUUGCUUUCCAGAAUCUAAUUUUAUCGAACAUUCUAGUGGCAUGAUCUAGAUCAAGUUCACAUUCAUGUUCACACCCUAAAGCAGUGUUUAGCAAACUCCAAUUUAAUUGAUGUUCUUGCUCACACAUGCGAAAAGAUAUUCCAUUAUUUGUGAGUUUUAGGGUGCAUAGAAAUUCCUUAGCAAGCAAUUCUUUUCCAAAUUCAGGCACUUGCCAAAAACUACUCCAACCAAUUGCUCUAAACACCUUAUCAAAUUCAACAUCCAUACCUGUGCGGGCCAAAAGGUCCGGAUCGAUGAUGCUAGUGUGUAGGAAGAGACCCUCUCGGAUGAUGUAGUACCUUUGCAACUCUUCUUGGCUUAACAUGAGGCCGCUCUCGGGCUCUCUCAUCCUUGAUGGAGGCUCGUAGGGUACCAUCCCAUGGUAACCUUCUUCUUCUUCCCUUCCAUGAGCAUGGUGAGAGCCUUGAGAAGAGCUCUCACCCUUUGCUUUCUUGAACUUGCCGAAGAUAUGCUUCUUCAUCCUCCUACACAAGUGAGGCAAACCAAGCUCCUACUACUACUACUAUGCAAGGGGAAUCUUUUUGGGUUUUUGUUUUGAUGACUAUUUCUAAACUAAACUUGAGAAAUGGCUUGUAACAAAGAGAGAAGAGAAAGGAUUGUGAGCUCGAAAUGGUUCUGGUGGUUUUGGGUGUGGAGUUGAGCUCACAAUGUUGUGGUAUUUAUAGGGGGAGAAGGGCAAGUAGUGGACCCACAAUAUAGGGGUCGGCCGACCCCCCCUAGAAGCACUUUGAAUUUGAGUUUAGCUUUAUACAGGGAACCAUUCUGCAUGCUUUCAAGAUUUUGCAGAGAUGGUCCAAAAUGGGGGUCGGCCGACCCCCAUCCUAGCCCCUCCUCCACUUUAAACAUUGUGUCAUUGAUUGUCCGGAAAAGUAAAGGCUAGGUGUGGACCAAAAGUUUUCAAAUUGUUUCUGAGAUUCCCUGUUUUAGUGCUUUGGAAAGGUAAAAGAUGAAUGGCAAAAGUGGAGACAUGUCUAAAGUGAUUCCUAUGGACCAUGGGAGCACUCAAGCAUGCCUAGGUGACCACUUUGCAGAAUUUAAGCUAGUGGAGUGGUCCCAAAAGAAUCAAAGAUGAAAGGAGCAUCUUAUGACUAAAGUAAAGGAUCAAGGGACCACUCUUUUUCAAACUUUAGCUAGUGUUACAAGCAUAGGACUCCAUUGUGAUUCAAAUGGUGGCCAGCAGGAGGCAAGUGGGGCCAAUACGGGGGUCGGCCGACCCCCACAUUGGAGCUCCCAGAGCAUCCAAGUGCUGGGUUGGAACCUCUAUGACUAGCAAGGUUGAAAUGUGGUGAAGUGGGCCCCAAGGUGGGGUCGGGCGACCCCCCUUUGGGAGCUCCAGCAGCUCAAAUUUUUAUGACAAGUUAUUCUCAAGAUUUUAUUUAUUAUGGCUAAACAUUUUGUCGAAAUAAGAUAUGCAAAAUUCAAAGUAAGAAUGCAAUUGAAAAGUGAAUAGUAGAAAUUGAAAUGCAGAAAAUAAAUAUGGGAUAACUACUGAUUUACCUUAUCAGCAAGGGCUCCAUGUUUUAGGUCCGUAGAGCAGGACCUCUCCAUCUUGUUCAUCCUUCGGGUGCAUCAGAUGGUCCCGGAGACGUGGACCUUGAUUGCACCUCUUUCUCCCGCCAUACUUGCUUGGUAUUGAUUUUUGGUUCAGCGGGUUCCUCUUCUUUCUUUUCGGCCCUUUUGGCCGACUUACCUCUCUUGUCCCUUCGGCGUCGGAUGUGGCGAGGCUUAGUCGGAGGUUCUUUGUCCUUCACCUGCAUGUUAGCUUUAUAACCAUUGAAUGGACAUUUUACCUUCCAUCCUGGGAAUUGGAGGUGAAUCUGGCCGGACCCCACAUAGAUGACUGCAUUGACCGUGUUGAGGAAUGGCCUUCCCAAGAUGAUCGAGACAUCAUUAUUGGAUCCCAUAUCCAAAAUGAUGAAGUCGGCAGGGACGUAGUCGUCUUGGACCUUUACCAGUAUGUCCCUUGCCAACCCCUCAGGGAACCUGAUCGUCUGAUCUGCCAUCUGCAAACGAACAAAUGUGGGGUGCAAAGGUCCCCCUAGCAAAUUAUCAUAAGUUACCUUGGCCAUGAUGUUGACACCCGAUCCAAGGUCGCAGAAGGCGUUGUGGAAGAUUUGCGGUCCGAUCUCACAGGUGAUGGUCGGCAGGCCUGGGUCGUCCUUCUUGGUGAUGAAGGGCGAAUCCAGAAGAUAGCUCCAGUUGGAUUGUACCAGAGGCUUACCGAACCUCGUAGUAACUAGUUUAACUCCUUCAAUUGGGUCCUCAGGUUUCCCUGGGAUCUUACCUUGCUCGAAGGAUGGGACAGCUGCUGCUAAUUGAGCUAAUUGUGUUUCUAGCAUUUUGUUAAAGCUCAACUGAUUUUUCAUAGCAGAGUUAAAGCUAUCCAACUUUUCACUUAAGUUUUCAAGGAUCUUAUCAUUAGCCAUCAUUUUCUUGUUAAUGCUAUCAUUGAUUUUAGAUUGGCCUAAGACAAGAUCUCUAAGAGAAGGUUGGUUACCAAAAGAAUUAUUGAAAUUUUGAUUGUAACCAUUACCUUGAUUACCUUGGUAGAAGGGGCGCGAGUUCCAUUGCUGUUGUUGGGGCCGGUACCCAUUGUUGUUGUUGUUGAUGAAGCUCACUUCCUCCUUUGUUUCAGGACAAUUGUUUCCCGAAUGAUCAUCUCCUCCGCACACUUCGCACCAUGAAUCAGAUUCAAUGGCCCGUGCAGUGGCGUAAGGUUGAAUGGUCUCUUGCUUGGAACUUUCUUCCAUCUUCUUCAUUAAGAGGUCCAUCUUAGCAGAGAGCAUGUCCACCUCAUUCAAGGCAUGGACACCUCUUCUCUUGGGUUGGAGGCGUUCCUCAUUCCAUUCUUGGUUUAUAGCCAUCUUUUCAAUGAGGUCCUUGGCAUCCUUGACAUUGUGUUGCAAGAAUGCUCCUCCAGCGGCAGCAUCAAGGUGACUACGGGCCAAACCGGUCAGGCCAUGGUAGAAACCUUGGAUUAGGAGCCACUCCUCUAUCCCAUGAUGAGGACAGGCGCGAAUGUACUCCUGCAGACGUUCCCAUGCUUCGGGAAUCGUCUCAUCUGCUUGCUGUUGGAAGCUGGAAAUCUUUCCACGAAGGGCGCUGGUCUUGCCCAUCGGAAAGAACUUCUUGAGAAAUGCAUUGGCGCACCUCUCCCACGUGGUCACUUCACCCUUGUUGGCGUAGAACCAUUGCUUCGCCUUCCCCAAUAAUGAGAAUGGGAAGAGGCGAAGACGGAUGGCGUCUGCGGCGACAUUCUUGAUGGUUAAGGUGCCGCACACCUCCAAGAAGUGUUGGAGAUGGGCAUUGGCAUCCUCGUGUGGCUUUCCACAGAAGGGAUUAGCUUGCACCAUAUUGAUAAGCGCAGGCUUCAACUCAAAAGUCGCAUCCCCCAAGUUAAGCUGCGGACCCGUGGCGACAUUGUCAGCCGACGGCGCAGAGUACUCAGAGAUGGUCUUCUGGGCCAUAGCUUCUUUGAUAACCGGUGCAGAUACUCCUUCCUCUAACGGAUUCAGGUUCGAGAUGAACCUUUGAGGUGGAACUUGACGACGUCUAGUUCUCCUCAACAGUUGCUCAGGAUCUUCAACGAAGUUUGACGGCAAUUGGAAACCGCUCAUACACUGUCAGGCUUCACAAUAAAGGAAGACAAGACAAGUGAUGGGUUAUCCCUAUCACUACUUGAUAACUAGCAAACUCUGGAUUCUCUUUUUGUUAAAACUCUUAGACAGACGCUUUCCCCGGCAACGGCGCCAGAAAUGCUUGUUGACACUUCUUAACGCAACCACCGGAUAUCGGCGACGGCGCCAGAAGUGCCCUGGUAGGGUAACUCUAUUUACUAUUGGAUAAUUCCGCAAGCGCACAGAAUGUGCCGCUGUAGCACUUCACCAAGGAGUAUUCCAAGGUAUCGUAAUUUAUAUUUUCCCAAGGGAAAGCGGCUAAGUGUGUUUAACAAAAAGGGGAAUGAGAUUCCUUGAGUUAUCUAGUAUCAACUAGUGAAUAAGGGUGGUAAAUAACGAAUAGGAAGGGUAGUGGUGAAUCCAAGGUCCUAUGCUAAAGGUAAAUGGUAGAGUUAGCUAGGUGGGAGGACAACGAGUGAGUAAAGGACUCCUAUGUAUCUAACUUGACUUCUGUGACUUACUUUAAUAGAUAAUUGCCUUAACUACGCUAGAGCCUUACUAACUGUGUGCGAGGGAUAGCCGAGCUGGUAAGACGCUUAGAAGGUUUUUCACCUAACCCCUUACCGAAAGCGACUAUUGGGCUUAUGGACGCCUUACCUUUUAAGAACUAGCCUGUACGUGAGGAGAACCUAAUGCCGCCCACGAUCUGUCACCUACUAGGGAGUGCGCUCCUACUUUCCGUUCAAGCCAGCGGUAAUCAAAGGUAAUCUUAAGUAUGAGCACCACGCUCACACUUAAUCCUACAACGCUAACUAGUUGCAGCUAGCUAGAGCUCCUAUACAAGAUAGGACGAUGAUGCACACACAGGAGUGGUUACAGGUCACUAACUUCACUAAGACAACUAUAUUACUAAAGUAAAUGCACAACAAGACUAAAAGACUUGCACUAAGUAAGAACUCAGUAAAGUAAAGUAAGAAUAAUAUAUUAAUAAAAGGAAAGUCUUACAAAAGUAGAAAGGUACAAGAGCUAUACCAGACUCUCCAGAAGACGACUCCGGAGACCCCGAGCUUCGCUCGACUCGACUCUAACUCCCACUCUAGACUAACUACUACUCUACUUGUAUGCUUGGAACUUGUAAUGCACUUGGCCUUGGAAUUGCACACUUGAAAUGAAGGAUGGAGGCUGCCUUUUAUAGAGGGAGAUGGAGUAGGGGUUACUCCAUCGCCACGUCAUCGAUCUACGUGACAUCUUCUCUCCACCCUUGGAUCAAACCGACCUCACAACCGCCAUUUGAUCAACGGCAGGGGCAAAUCAACUUGUGGGACAUGUGGGGAAGGUCGGUGGGAGGCCACCGACCCUGGAACCGCCUUUGAUGUGGGGUCGGGCGACCCCACUUCUGGGCCUCUGGGCCCACCAGCAGUGUCCACAGGGGUCCCUUAUGUCGGUGGACUAGGUGGCACACCUGGGUCCCACCAAAGAGGGGUCGGGCGACCCCCUCCCUGUGGGCCCAAGGUGUCACCAGUUGUCCCCUCGAUCUCCUCUUGAUGAUUCUGAUGUUGGCUUUGUCAAAUAAUGUCUUGAAUUUGUUGUUCCUGCAUAAACAAGCUAAGAGUACAAGUGGAACUAGUUAUGGAUAAAAUAUGUUCAUGUCAUGUCGUUUCCUCUUGCAACCGAGGCAUGUUGACGGUGUUUUGUAUGUGGAUUUCUAUGGUAUAUCCACCGUCAACAUCCACGAAAGAUCUGGAGCUGGGACCAGAUCCAAAUUGACGGCAUCGUUGCUAGCCUCUCUCGUUAAGGAAGGCCUAUGGCCUGCUCCGUGAUUCUCGGAUCGGCUGUUGAGGCGAUCAGGAAAGCGAUUUAGACCCGCUACGCUGCCGGCCGCCCGGCCGCAGCGUCCACGCCCCGGGUCUGCCAUUGCAGGGUGGACCUGGCCACCGCCAUAUCGUCGGUUAGCCCGUUCAGGCACCAUCGAUGCUCCAUACCGAUAGGGUUUGCCGCGUAGGUUCCUAGUCGGGUUUCUUUGGUUCGUGGCUGUGUGUAGAUUGCGCGGCGCACACUGUUUUUCUUUCUCCCUAUCUGAUCACCAUGUCGGGAUCGGGUUCGGGUGGGAAAGCUCUGGAGGGUAAGGGCGAGGGCUUAAACCCUAAUGUGGAGGACAUGUUCCGCAAACUCCAACUCACGGCGGAGGAAGAGGCGGUGCUGGACCUCAGCAGCGAGGAUGAAGAGGAGACCAUGGCACCCGCGAUGUGGGCGCUGGUGGAGAAGAUUCUAUCACCAGUUCCGAUCCAUGCCGAGACGAUCCGUUCGGCAAUGAGGCCAGCAUGGGGAAACCCGGUUGGACUGAAGAUCAAGACUGUAGGUGAGAAGGGAGACAACACAUUCAUGGUGGAGUUUGGAAGUGCCCGAGAUAUGGAUCGGGUUUUGUCUGGAGCGCCAUGGAUGGUGAAGAAGUAUGCGGUGCUGUUGCAGGAGUAUGAUGCUACUCUCAGUGCUUCAAGCAUUGUUUUUGACAGAAUUGAGAUGUGGGUGAGGAUCCUAGACCUUCUGCUAGGAUGGAUGAAUCGUGAGAAGGGAGCACGGGUUAUGGACAUGAUCUGCAAGGUUGUCUCCAUGGAUGUGGACUCCGAUGGCAAGGCCAGUGGAGCCUUCCUCCGGGCCCGUGUCUCCAUUGAAAUUGAUAGACCAAUCAGGAGGGGGAUCUUCCUUAGACUGAAAUGAGGAGAAGAACCCAAAUGGUUCAAAGUACAGUAUGAGAAACUGCCCUAUAUUUGCUUCUCAUGUGGAAAGCUCGGUCAUUCCGACUUGGAGUGUCCAAAUCCUGCUGAACGGGAUGAGGAAGGGAAACUCCCUUAUGACGUCAAACUAAGGGCCCCAGAGGAGCGUCGCCGCCGGCCAUAAUCUUUUGCUGGGGCAGCUGCGGAGACUUUUGGGAGUGGAUCUUCCUAUGGUUCCAAGGCUUCCAAGCCCUCAAACCAGGCAGGUGAGGGGGCACCGAAAUCUAACUCGCGUGACUCAGCGAGCGUUGUGGGGCAUUCGGAAGAGAUGGAGGUCCAGUCACCGUUGAAAAAUGAUGGUGGUAGGAAGAAGGUGAUUGAGGAUGAGAAAGAACGGGGGGCGAGCAGGCAUCUCAAUCUCCAGGAGGUUGAUGGUCAGCACUCAUACCCGCGUAAGCGGAAGUCGAAGGUGGCUUCCACCGCCACUCUAACACCCGGGCUGGAUCUCCCACCAGGCGCCAUGUUAGCACUGGUGCCGGUGGGACUGGUUAACUCACUAGUUAGUAAGCUGGAUGGUGGGGCGGACAGCAGUAGUGCCAGCAUGUUGGAAACCCUCAAAAAAUAGAAAUGCGGCACAUCAGACAAUGCGCGAUCCGCGGCGGCUGCGGGUGACAGCCCCCGCCGGGCACAAUGAAUGUCCUCAGCCUGAACUGUCGGGGCUGCGGGCGGCCCGAGGCAGUUCAAGAGAUCCACCAGCUGGUGGUGGAGAAGAAGCCCGCGGUGGUGUUCUUAAUGGAGACAAGGAUGGGGGAGGAGAAGGCUCUCGGCUUGGCUAGGCGUCUUGGUUUUCAAAAUGCCAUCGUUGUCAAGUCAGAGGGCCUUAGUGGUGGUUUAAUGCUGAUGUGGCAUGGCAAUGUCAUGGUAGCGGAAUUGACCAAAUCGAGGUCGCAUAUUGACGUGAUCUUGUCUUGUGAUCACCUAAAAAUCUCUCACUGGCGUCUAACGGGUUUCUAUGGUGAGCCUAGAUGGGAACGCCGGCGUGAGAGUUGGUACCUGCUGAGGUUUCUUCGAGCACAGUCGAGUGAUCCAUGGCUGUGUUUGGGGGACUUUAAUGAGGUUCUAGCGAUGGAGGAGCAGAUGGGAGCUAAUGAACGAGAAAUGUGGCAGGUGACCGCUUUCCAGGAUGUUGUUAAUGACUGCGCCUUGACUGAUCUUGGUUUCCACGGCCUACCCUACACUUGGGACAACCGGCAGGAAGGCGGUCGGAAUGUGAAGGUGAGGCUGGAUCGGGCCUUGGGAGACAAUAAGUUUAUGGAGCUCCUAGGUGGAUCGGAGGUGUUUCACCUCCCUACGACAGAGUCUGAUCACGCUGGGCUUCUGGUGGAAGUAAGACAUCAGGAACCAGGGGCGCAGACAAGGCGUAGGCGCCACAAGCCGUUCCGGUAUGAGAACAUGUGGAAAACCCGUGGCGAUUAUCAUGAGUUUGUGAAUAGGACCUGGGACCCGGGGCCUGGAUCAGCAAACUUGUCUACUGUGGCAAACGCCCUCUCAGCCUUGCAAGGCUCCUUUAAAUCUUGGGACCGUGACAUUUUUGGCUCUGUGACAAAGAAAGUGAAGGAGCUUAGAGCAAAGCUGGAGGAGGAAAGAAGGCACACUCUCUACCGGGGUCCUACGGAUAGGGAACGAUCAAUUAUGGCUCAACUAACCGAGGUCCUGGCAAGGGAGGAAGUGAUGGCUAAACAGCGGUCUAGAAUAACCUGGCUGCGGGAGGGCGAUAGGAAGACUGAAUUUUUCCAAGCUAAAGCCAAACCUAGAAGCAAGACCAAUCGAAUCAAGCUGCUUAUGGACGUGGAUGGUCAUGUGUUCACUGAUCAGGAGGACUUGGAGAGAUUGACGGGCGACUUCUACCAGCGCCUAUUCUCGGCGCAAGAUGAACUCCUUCCUGAUUUGGUAUGUAAACAUGUUCCAAGGAAGGUAACACCAGUCAUGUGUGAGCUCCUUGGUGCACCUUUCUCUGAACAAGAGGUGGAAGAAGCUUUAUUUUGUAUGGCACCAAACAAGGCCCCAGGUGUGGAUGGUUUCAAUGCUGGCUUUUUCCAAACGCACUGGGACCUGAUCAAAGGGUGUGUCAUGGAGGCGGUUCUGGGGUUUCUGAAUGGAGGAGAAUUACCUGAGGAAGUUAAUAAAACCCUUCUAGUUCUAAUUCCAAAGGUAACCAAUCCGCAAGACUUAACCCAGUACCGGCCGAUCUCUCUUUGUAACGUGCUCUACAAGAUCUGCUCAAAGGCGAUGGCAAAUCGACUUCGGCGAAUUUUGGAUGAGAUUAUUUCAAUUGAGCAAAGUGCGUUCGUACCGGGUCGACUGAUCACGGAUAAUGUACUGAUCACGUACGAGUGCAUACACUACUUAAGGAACAAGAAGGGCAAACAGGGUGAUUGUGCCAUCAAAUUGGACAUGGCAAAGGCUUAUGACCGGGUUGAAUGGCCAUACCUGGAGUGCAUCAUGAGAGCGCUGGGCUUUCCUGAAGGUUGGAUUGCCCUAGUGAUGAAAUGUGUGAAAUCAGUGACUUUCUCAGUAAGAGUGAAUGGAGUCUUCUCUCAUGAAUUCAAACCAUCGAGGGGAAUUCGCCAGGGAGAUCCCAUUUCACCCUAUCUGUUCUUAAUCUGUGCAGAAGGCCUAUCGUGUAUGUUGAAGAACAUUGGCCCACAAUAUGUCUCAAGGGGGGUGAGAGUUAGCCAAAAUGCUCCAGGGAUCUCUCACCUUCUAUUUGCAGAUGACUGUCUGGUUUUCACACAGGCAUCAAAGAAAGGGGCGGAUAGUGUAGCGUCGAUCCUGGAUGAGUAUCAUAAAGGGUUGGGGCAACUUGUGAAUAAAAAUAAGUCAGCCAUCUUUUUUAUCACCAAUUGUGGAGAAGAGAAUAAAGAGGAGGUUCAUGCUGGUUUGCAAAUUGAUACGGAAGCUCUGGGGGAACGCUAUCUGGGUUUACCCACAGCGGCUGAACGAGGAGCAACUGAUGUCUUUAACUAUUUGCCAGCUAAGGUGCGUGUUAUGAUUGCAGGCUGGGCUGAGAAGGGGCUUAGCUGUGCAGCGCGAGAGGUGCUUCUAAAGGCCAAUGUUCAAGCAGUGCCUACAUACCCCAUGUCGGUAUUUAAACUCUCUCCGGUGGUGUGCCAAAAGCUAACAUCGUCAGUCUCAAACUACUGGUGGGGGAGCUCGCUUGACAAUCACAAACUGCACUGGCUUAAGUGGGAGAAAUUGACAAGAUCAAAGAUUGAUGGUGGUAUUGGUUUUCAGGAUUUUGCCUUGUUCAAUCAGGCUAUGCUCGGGAAGCAAGGAUGGAGAUUGCUCUCAAGACUAGACUCGUUAUGUAGCAAGGUACUGAAGGGGAAGUAUUAUCCACACUCUAACUUCCUAUCAGCUACUAAGAAAUGACGAAGCUCGGCAACCUAGAGGGCAAUUUUGCAUGGCCGGGAUGUCUUAGCUCGGGGGCUAAUCAAGAGAGUUGGGCCGAGGAAUAUUAGUAUCUGGGAAGAUAACUGGAUCCCUGGUGUGCGACCUCUCAAACCAUUGGUUCGCAUGCCUCGAACUACUGUGGAAAGGGUCCGGGAUCUGUUCAUAUCGGGCACUCGUGUGUGGAAUGAAGCGGUGGUUUUCGGCUCCUUUAUGGUGCUGGAGGUGGCUGAAGUGCUGAAGAUCAAACCGAGCACUCUAAUUGAGGAGGAUGUGAUCGCUUGGGCUCAUGAGAAGUGUUGACACUUGCUAACACCACUUGAAUACUAGGUUGUCAUCCCCAGCAUGGCACUAGAGUGUACUACGGUAUUUAUACGCACACAGAUAAUCCGCAAGCGCACGUAUACCGUUGUAGCUUUAACCCGGUUAAAGGUUUUAUCGUAUCCACAGGGAAACGGGAGAACCAACUACGCUCUAACUUAACCAAGAUAAAUAGAUAAGUGUAAAUAGGAAAUAGGGUAGAAUUGAAUAAGAACAAUACUAAAGGUAAGAUAACAAUGGGUGAUUUUAUGGGAAUAGAGAGUAGAGCAAUCUAAUAUAUGGGCGAUGGUAGCAGAAUAGAGAGGAUAACUAUGGUUUCUCUACUUCAAAGGGGUACGUCUAUGUCUGGGACGAACCACGUGAUAAGAAUACACCACAAAGGAUGCUUAUCCAUAGGCCGAUAAACCCUACCCAUCCUGCUAACAAGAGGUGGACUACAGGGGACCAACGUAGCUGUCACCUACGCGGCCUACCACACGAUCCAGCUAGACAGGGGAUAUCGACAAGUAAUCUAGGUCUAAGCACCAUGCUUACACCUAUACUACAACUCUCACCUAUAGCGUCCUAUAGAUUAAAGUACUCAAAAGAGUUGUGAACCAGAACAUACGUGAUUAGUAAUUGCAUAAUGAAUUAGAAGUAGAUUACCAGAGUCAUCCCAUGAGCAAGCUUGAUUAGAGCUUGAUCAUGACGAAGUACAACCGGAGGAAGAACCGACAGGCCGGCCUCUCCUCUAAUCCUCCUUUGCUCUCCAUCUCGCUACUAUCUAGAUCUACUCUAGUUUAGAGAAGAGAGGAGAGCUCUCAUCCCUAAACCCUAGAUUUUGCUCUGUCUAUGAAUAAUGAAUAAUGAUCAAGGGGUGCCUCCUCCAGGGGCCAGGAGGUCUGGUUAUAUAGUCCCCUCAAGUGAAUCUAGGCCGUCGGAUCAAACCGACAUUGAUUGAACGGUUAUUCUUGAUCCUUUAGGUCGGUGGAGCAUAAUCCGCGAAGUUGAACGUGAUUGGCCGAAAUAGGUGGGCGGGCGCCCUAAGGACUUGGGCGGGCGCCCUGUCCCUGAGCCCUCUCGGCUUCUGCUUUGUUCCUGUGGCUUCUGGAGUCUUCUAGAUGAUAGAAAAUUUUGCGGCACGUUAAAAUCUCUAUGUAAACCCGACGUGUGGGUCUUUCUUCCUUAUUUUCUAAUAACCCCCUGCAGAAAUAGACAAACACCAAAACUCGUGGAAUUCUGUCAGAUAAAACCCUAAGUCUGGGUGUUGGUUGCAUUUGGAUCCUUUUCUUUAUUUAUUUGAUGAUUAUAUUUGGUACUUAAGGACCGUCAACAAGAAGCAUGGUGGGUAUUCAGUUAAAUCUGCCUACAGGCUUCUUAAGCACGAUUAGUUGUAGAAGGCAAUGGCUGAUGAUAGUAAACAAGCUUCAGCGUCAGGUGAACCCACUUUCUGGAAAGUGUUAUGGAGAAUGAAUGUGCCUCCUAAGGUUCGAGUCUUUUGGUGGAGAGUGUUACAUAAUUCUCUACCAUCAAAGGCGGAGCUUAAGAGACGACAUGUGGCUAGAGAAAGUCAUUGUGAAAUGUGCGAAAGUCGAGAUGAUAGUCUAUUCCAUGUGUUCUUUGACUGCCCGAUUGCGAAGCGAUUUUGGGAGGAGGUGAAGAAGGAGACGGGGUUGGCAAUGCCAAAGAUAUAGAGUGAUACUUGGGCCCAGGAUGUCCUCCGAUUGAGAUCAAGGAUGAUGAUGCCGAGUGAAACAAUCAUCUGUGGUGCCUGGGCUCUCUGGACUGGCCGCAACACUCGUGGUCAUGGGCGCAAAUCUUGGGAACCAGGAGCUACUGCUAGGUUCGUUUCAAAACUGUUGGAGGACCUGGCAUCCCUGAAGCUAGCGCCUGUGAUGAGGCCAGCGCCGGCUAAAGCGAAAUGGGAAAAGCCAUCACCAGGGUGGUUCAAGAUAAACACAGACGCGGGCUUUGAUCGGGAAUCAAAUUCGGGCUCGGCUGGUGUGGUUAUUCGAAAUGAAGCUGGUCUGGUGGCAGGUGGAUCAGCAAGAUGGAUUGAGAAUGUUCCUGACACGCUCACAGCAGAAGCUAUGGCGGCAAGAGAGGGUCUUGAACUUGUGGUGGAAUUGGGACUCGACCGGGUGAUACUUGAGGUCGAUUGCCAAGAACUCUCGAAGCUGCUACUUAGUCAAAAUUCGAUCUCCUCAUGUAUUGAAGGCUUAUGUUUUGAUAUAAUAGAGCUAGGCAAGAUGUUUAGUGAGUUUUGCAUUAGAUGGGUCAGAAGGGACGCGAACUCGGUGGCAAACUUCUGUGCAUCCAUAGUUUCGCCUACCGAUCGCUGCCACUUCUGGUUUGAUAAUGUACCAGGCUGGCUAGUGGUCCUAGCAGAUGCCCAUUGUAAUCUGGCCAUGAAUCAAUAGAAAGCUCUAUUACUCAAAAAAAUUGACGGCAUCAUUGUCCCCUUUCCAACGAGUCCAAGAUCACCUCGUUUUGAUGUCGUAUGAAGAAGUUAUGAUCAAAACACUGACGACGUGUUUGCUGAAUCCGAGAGUGACGUGGUAGCUGAGUUGGAGAAGAAUUGCAACUUGGAAAAUACAAUGGUGUAAACGUAUGCAGCGUGGCGAUGUCCUCAUCAUCCUAUAUGCUAAACUUUUACCUAACUCUUGCCCUCACUUAUCUACCAUUAUUUCUUCCUUUCGGUAGAGAGACCCUUUUUGGAGAUUAAUGCCAAAGGGGGAGAAAUAUUGAGAGGGAGUGUAAGGGAGGAGAGAUUGAUAUGUGGAUUGAAAGGGGUAAAGGAGAGGCAUAUAAGAUUUUUCAAAUUUUUGUGUGGUGUGUGCAAGGAUAGCUGAUGCUUGAUAAGGACCACUUAUACUAGUGUGAUGUUCUUGACUUGGGUGGUGGUUGCCUUUACUUUUGUGCUGCUCUGGCAAGUGCGGCAGUGCCGUCCUUCUAGUGCGGCGGUGCCGCCCUCAAUUGGCCAGCAAACUUUGAGUGUAUGACCUGCCAUGAGCAUCAGGUUUAUCAUGUUGACAGCUUGCACCCCACGGAUGCUAAGAUAUAGAAGAGUUCCCAUACUUCAUCUUGAAUAUGUGCAUUCGGCAUUUAAGGCCAAAAUUUAAAAUCCAAUCUAUGCACACAUUUAGGGGGAGCUCACUAUAUCAUAGGAUUCAAAAUCUUAAUGUUUAUCAAUCUCUUGUAAGCUUUAAUUGUGUUGUCAUCAAUCGCCAAAAAGGGGGAGAUUGGAAGUGCAUCUAGCCUUUUGUGGGUUUUAGUGAAUUGAAUGACACCAUGAUUAAAGGUCUAAUAAGUUUGCUAAGUGUUGAAUAAGAUAUUGAUUCUAUUGCACAUACUUGUGGAUUGUGGAUUAACAAGUAUGUUCAAGGCUCAACAAGCAAGCAAACUUGAUGAUAUGCCACAUAGUGUUGAAAUAAAGGCCAAAUUGUGUAUUGUUGUAUUGGAGGAUUAUGGGAACAAUCUAGCUCAAGCAAAAGACAACAAUGCAAAUGAAAUCUAUGGAAUGGCUUCUAUGUUGUGAGAUAUCAUAGCAUCAUGAGAAAGCAAGCAUAUUUGGCAAAUAGCAAAAGAGACAUGAGUUGAUGUUCUUGGAUUAGUCUCUACAAUGGCUUGCUUUUCAUGAACAUGAAGAUAUUGAUAGUGAACGAGCUUUGAUCAAGGUUGAAGAAUGAAUCAAGAAUGCAUAAGUGAGGAAAUGACAAGCAAAGGUCAAAUGAUAAAGGACAUGAUUCAUAUUGGAUAUAAAUUGGUCUCUACAUUAGUUUGCUUGUAUGGAUAAAGAUUUGGUAAAUCACUUUGCAAUAGGUUUGAUCAAGCUAGAAGUAUGAAGAUAAAGAUUGAAGUGAGUAUUGAGUGUCAAGCUAAAAUAGAGAGGAUAUAAGGAACCAUGAAUUGGCUUGACCAUAUUGAUGCUGAUCCAUAUAUGUCUCUAUGUGAGUCAAACUGAAGCUUGAUUGAUCUCAAUAUUUAUAUCUAGAAGAUAUUCAAGCAAGGACACGAUAUUGAAAAAUGGUUAUUCAAGGGAUGCUUAAUGUGAUAAGAUUUGAGUAUGGCUUGAUAAGGUGAAGAUAGCAAGGAAAGGGCUUUGAGGGACUAAGCAGAGGUGAAGGGACAAGCGACAGCUUAAGGACCGAGGUACCAUGGCUAAGGUGAAGAAGAGAGUACUUGCAUUGAGUCUAGGAACUAAUCAAGCUAUAAAGAGUCAUAUUGUGUUGAGGAUCAAAUCAUUAGUGGAAGUGACUUGAAGCCAUGGAGAUGAACUCAUAUUUGUGGAAAUGGUUCAAGUCACGUGCUCAAGGUGUGUUUGCUCAAAGUAAGGAGACAAAGUUAAUUGCAACCCUUUAUGGAGUAAUAUUGAGAAGAAAUGACAUAUGAAUAUAUUGAAGACUCAAGUGGUUAAAUUGGUUAUAUUCUCUUGUUCUUGAGUAUAGGUAUGUUGUACUAUCAAGGAGGAUGCAAUACGAAUGAUAGACAAGUCUCAAGUGCUCAAACUAACCAAACCAAGUCCUAACAUGAAAGAAAACACUUAGCACUCGAAACAAGCUUUCUAAAAAGUCCAAGAUCAUUGCAAACGGAGUUCGGAGUAAAAAGUUAUGGCUUUUUCCGUGAAGUGACUUGUGCUGUUUUUGGGAGGGCGACAGUGCCACACUUAAUGGGCGGCAGUGACGCCCCUGUACAGUCACAACAGCUAGUUGAAGUGGGAUAAGUAUAUAUACUCAUCCCACGGCUCCUAGUCAUGCUGCUGAUGCUCCAGACAUUCCCAACCCAUUCCGAAGCCUCUCCCCAACCUUCUCUUUGUGAGAAUGAAGUGCUUAGUGCACAAUUAAGUGUUGGGGCUAUGUGAUUAAGUGUUAGAGAGCAUAUUAGAGCAAUUGUAACCUUUGAGCAUUUGCUGGGCUUCAUCGAUCUUUGUUGUGCAUUUGUUACUCUUGGAGGUGAAGCCUCCUAAACGGCUAGGCGUCGCCCGGCGAGCUCCCGUGCUUGUGGUGAGCAGCGGGAUAGUUUGUAUCCCUCUCUUGCAGCUAGUGAAAUAACCCCUGAGAACGAGGGCAAGGCAACUUGGUGGCAAGCCAAUUCUUUUGUGGAUACCUCAACAAUGUGGACUUAGGCAAGCCUUGGUGGCGAGAUAAACCAUGGGAUGAACAUCGUGUCAUCUUGUUCUUGUUUUACAUGCUUGCAAGUUCAUAUUGUUGUUAAGGUACUUGUAGGGUUGUGGUCGAUAUACUUGGUGGUACUUGUUCUGCUGCAUAUAACUACUAUUUAGUGACUAACAUACUUGUAGGAAGCUAGGAAAUUUAUCUGAUCUAAAUUUCCUUGAUUAAAUUUUGAAUUGUGCUAAGUCCCCUGUAUAAGGGCGGCAGUGCCACCCUCCAAGAGAGGCAGUGCCGCCCUCUAAUCUGAUAGAGUUUUGAGUUGAAACUAUGCAGAUUUGUCACUAGAUACCUCUAGUACAUCUUCACCAAGUUUGGGCUCUGUUGGACAUACGGUUGUAGAAAGUCUUGACGGUAAAUAAACACUUUUUAACCAUCAACAUACCAUGAGAAAGGACUUAAAUCAGAAUAUUAUCUAGCUAUAGGAGUUAUCACUAACAGAAUUCCACAAGUUUUGGUGAUUGUCUAUUUCUGCAGGGGGUUAUCAGAGUAAGAACAAAAGGAGGCCCACAUGUUAGAUUUACAUAGAGAGAAUAUGUGAAACGUGAACUCAGGAAUACUCCAGAAGACUCAGUCAGACACCACCUGAAAGGUGGGGCCCACAUGCUAUAGGGCAGGGGCGGCCGCCCAGGGGUUCAACCAAUCAGGGUGAACCUCGCGGGUCCUACCUCCACCGACUUUGAGGAUUAAGCUUAAGCGCACGUUUAAGUCGGUUUGAUCCAAUGGCUGUGGUGCUUCCUAGGGGGCUAUAAAUACAAGUCUGACCCCCUGGAGAGGAGUGAGUCAGAUAAUAAGAAUUAUCUGAGAAGAAGUAGACAGAGAGGGGUCCCUCGAAUGGAUCUAUCUCUAUAGGUUCUUAGCCACCAUCUUAAUUAGAUCUCUAUAGUUCUUUAGCAUAGUUACAUAGGAAUAGAUCAAGAAGGAGUCAAGUCAAUCUUGGAGUCUAGAUCUAUCUUCAGUUCUUGGUAAACUCUUAUUCUCUUUGUUAUAUUUUUAUUAGUUCUUGCUACUAUGAAUAUAACUUUGAUCUAUUUGAUUAUAUCGGAAUUGACUUUAUUCUAUUUGCUUAUGUUCUCAAUUAUAUUAUUAUUAGUUUACUUUGAUUAUAUGCUUAGUGAAGUUAGAUUAGAAUUAUGUUUAUGCAUAGGAUGGUUUAGCGCUUACUCAUUAGACCGAUGGGUAAGUGAUAGAUAUUGUGUAGGUGAGGUGCCUAGACCGUAUUUAUCUAUGAUUACCCCUUAUAGUCCGAAGCUUGAGGUAGACCGCGAGAGUGACAGUCCUGUUGAGUCCUUUGUAUUCCUUCUCCUAAUUAUAAGGAUUGUAGAGCACCAUUAUUACAGGAAAGUGAUUGCUAUGUUCAUGAUAUUUCUUGCUAAUAUCACUAUGCAUAGAUAUAACCUUUUCUAGUGAUGAUGCUAGGUGUACUUGCACUAAUCAUUGUAUGCUUUGACAGUAUAGUUAGAAUACUUAGAAUUUAUUCUUGUAGAUUGUUCUAAUACCAUGCUAGUGCUAUAGACUUAGAGUAAUCUAAUUGAGAUAAUUACCAUGUUUAUCGUAUGGCUAUGAAUUCUUAUUUAUCCUCUGUCACUUAUUAUUCAUAUUCAUAUAUUUAUCUUAUGUGACACUUACCCUGCAUGAGAGAUAGAUAAAGACAUGGUUAAGGUAUCCAUGAUUACAUGUAGUGCUCAUUGCUCAUUAUCCAUUGCAAGUCCCUUUCCAGUGGCAAAAAUAUAAAUAACGAUAGCUGGAAUACUCCUGAUUAAAAUGCUACAUCGGUAUUAUCUGUACGCUUGUGGAUCCUUUAUUUAUUUAUUUAUUCCUAGAAAAGCAUAUAGAUUUAAUACCAGCACUUCUACAUCAUGUUAGGGAUGACAACCUAGCUUAUGUGAUGUUAAGUAAUUUUGACGUCGUUGCUAGGGAUAGGUUUAAGAGUCUAUUUUUAGUAAUUGCGUUAAGAAGUGUCAAUAGAAAGGCAGUGCCACCCUAAGUUUUAAUUUCUGUUUGAGCUGAUUUUUUGUAGGCCUAUUCACCCCCCCCCUCUAGGCCUUCUAGGCGACAUCAAGGUCCUUUCACCCACCUCAGCCGCGGCGUGGACCUCCAAAUCCCAGCGCCGAUGUGCACACGACACCGCAGGGCGCGGUGCAGACAUGGACAUGGACAGCGUGGAGUGCAUCUUCCUCCCAGACGCUUCCAUGGACGUGGACGACAUCGAUGGCCACCCGCAUCACGACCACCACGGCCAUCUCGGCCUCCCACUCCACCCCGCCCACCUCCCAUCCUUGGGCGCCAGCCGCACAUUCCCCAAGGUGAAUGCCGGGGGCGGCAGGGUGGGCCCGGCGGGAGCGGGAGCAGGAGCGGCGGGGGCAGUGAGCGCAGUGGGAGCAGGUGGGGGGCUGCCGACGACCAGCAUGCACGAGCUGCUCGAGUGCCCCGUCUGCACCAACUCCAUGUUUCCGCCCAUCCAUCAGGUUGGUGCCUUGCUCCCGGUGCACCGAUUUUAGAUGGGGCUGCGUGUGGAUUUGGGGAUCUCGGUGGGGGAAAGCCUCUGGCCUCUGGUGACCAUUAGGGCGAGCAGCGUUGGGGGCGGGCCAUCGGACGAGCAGCAUCGGGGCAUGGCAUGUGCGGCGGCGAAAGAGGGCGAGCACAACGGUUUGGGAGGUGACGAGAACUUCGGUCAGAACUUAGGCAAGCCUGACCAGCGAAAAACGGACCCCCAUCUCGUUUUAAUGGAGCCAGGCUAGGACCUCUAAAGUGCCUUAUCUAGGCAUGACUUUGGGCUGUUUACAAGCAACCAAAUAGCUAGAAGGUGGCUAUCUGAAGCCUGGUUGGGAGUUAGCCACCCAACCAAACAGACCCUUGAAAGGUCCAAAUGGCUAGAGGGGGGGUGAAUAGCCUAUUUAAAAUUUCUACAAACUUCACUAAACAAGUGAGUUAGUAAAACAAAAGGCGAAGCAAAUCUAGCACUAGCUCAACUAAGCUAUGCAAGCCACCUAUACAAAUCUAGCAAGACGGCUAAACAUUAAAACACAACAACUAAGAAGGCUACACAACAACUCUAUACUAACAAGAACUAAGCUACACAAGCUAAACUAACAAGGUAGGCAAGUAUGUAAAGAGAGAAGAGUGAUUGUUAUACCGACGUUGUAGAGAAGAGAUAUAUCCAAUCAAUCACGUACACAAUCACAAGAGAGACCUCGGCAAGAGAUGACACAAGAUUUUUUACCGAGGUUCACUUGCUUCCCGGCAAGCUACUCCUCGUUGUGGCGAUACACCCACUUGAUGGAUCGCGAGCUAAUUGGCAAUCCAAAGCCAAACCCUCAGCGGGUGCCGCACAUCCACUCACAAGAUGGGGAUCCUCCAAGCCACGAGCAAUCCACUAGAGUAGCCAAUUGCGAUCUCCCGCGGGGAAGGCUCAAGAACCCCUCACAAGUCACUUGGUGAGGCUCGAAACAAUCUCCAAUCACGAGCUCAACACCACCGCUGCUCCAAGCCGUCUAGGGCGUCGGGAAACACCCAAGAGUUACAAGAAAUCCGCAGCAAACUCAAGAAUCAAGUGCCACUAAAUGCAACUCUCAAAGCAAUGCACUUGAAUCUCACUCAAUCUCACUAGGAUGAGCAAUCAAGCAAGGAGAUGAGUGGAGGGAGUAUUCUCUAGCUCAAUGUAUGCCUCAAGUAUUCAAAUGUGCAAGAGUUAACCCCCCAAAGCCGGCCACCAACUAUUUAUAAGCCCCUCAAAGAAACUAGCCGUUGGCUGUUUUUACUGGGCUCAAAUCAGGAGCACCGGACGCUACUAAGUGAGCACCGGACGCUCGACCCCCUGCGUCCGGUGCUCAAGGGAAGGCCACAUGUGUAACAGAACCGACCAAAUUAUAAGAGAUUAAGCCUAAUAGUGACCAUUUGCAUAGUCGAACCAUCACGCUUAAGCCCAUAUAAUCCCGGUAGUCCGUGAAAUCUCAAAGGAUUUCAAACCACACAUCGCAUACAGCCAAGAUCGUAAUAAGUUUAGCGGCCGCCAUCCACAAGUACAUCCAGAUUACAACAUUCAUGAAACACAUCGGAGUACUUAAGUUAUUACAAACCAAGUUCUUCAAGUAGCGGAAGCUUCAUAGUUCGAAAUUACAACACACACGAUAAGUCUGAUACAGUGCCAUAGUUCGGUCAUUCCCACAAAAGCAAAGGAAGAGACGGAGUGACCAUCGCCGUUGGUCUAGUCAUCACCCAUAGCUGGGUACAGACAGAGGAUGCAAUAACCAUAGUACAUUUGACCAUCUGCAAAACAACAUGGGAAUAGGACCCUGAGUACGAGAAGGUACUCAGCUAGACUUACCCGUCAUAAACUUAAAAUAAAGACUCAUCAAGGAUCAUGAAGGCUAUUUAGUGGGGUAGCUGACAACCAUUUUGCAAAGACCGCAAGGUUUUAUUACCCUAACCUACAUAAAUCUUUUCUUCUUUUAAUCUGCUCAAGUUGAAAGUAUCAUUACCUAUUAUCUAGGUUUGCUCCUGUGCUAUUACAAGCAAGUAUGAGACUAUGAUAGUACCUCAUCAUAGCAUUUCUUGAACCAUUCAUCAUUAUAACCCAAGUGUUCCAUAGUCCUUACUACGAGGACGAAGCUCAUGUCAAGUGCUCACUAUCCAGGAGCGAUGGCGAUUCGAAUCGAUUUCUAACCAGCUGGCGAAUUUAUUCCCCACACAAACCACACUCACUGAUCAAGUGAGCUACAGGUCACCGUGUUGCACUAUCCAGGACCAAUUCGCGGGUUCGACAGGCACCGCCCGUACCCGAGGACUGUUCCGGCGACCGAGGUAUCCAAGGUAUACCAAGGUUGCGCGUCGCGCCCUCGUCGUUCUCCUCAACCAUCACCAAUACAGCGCGUACAUCGAGCCGAUUCCCGGCCCGGAUAGUGCUCAGGCUUCGCGGUCGGAACGACUUAUCCUUCCAGCUAAGUGUGGGGCAUGCGUUCAACAUGACAAGAGGGCCGUCAACGAUCGGUCCUUAAUCGACACAGGCAGGGGCACUAUGGUCAACCCACCAUAAGACCCUGCCCGGUCUCCAAAUUCAUUCCACAAUUGGUCAUCCUUUUCCCAAGCAACCAAUGCUUAAUCAAGCAGGUAUCCACCUAUAUCUCGUAGGUGACAGGAAAUCACCCGACUUCUACCGGACUAAGCAAGCUAAGCAUAGACUCCGCGCCUAUCUACAUAGGACAAGGUAGAUAAACGAGUAGGAAUAACAAGGAAUACAUAUGCAGCAACGGUAUCAGGCAACUCCUACCACUUAAAUGCAGUAGUAGAACAAGUAUAGUGCAUCACAUAAGUUAGCGAGAAUAGGGAGACUUAGAAUGCUCCGGGGCUUGCCUUUCUCAAACGUGCUGGGUCGGUGAUCCGGACACUCCUGCAGUUCCUCUCCGGGUUCCGGUGCUUCCGGAGGUUCUUGCUCCUGAGUCUCCUCUGGCUCCUCGGGUCCCACCUCGUUCUCCUGCGAGCCUGUAUGAUGCAUGUGUGCUCAUGAGUGGAGUGUGAGAUGCCCGAAUGGAUGCUUGUAUGAGAAGGUACCAAAGGACCAUGUCAUGAUGCAUGGAUGAUACACUUGGUCAUGCUCAUCACAAGGUAUGCAACAUCAUCCAAGAACAGGCACUUGGAUUAAACAUCUAUUGCAUUCUCUUUUACAAUUAUUUUUCAAAUGCAAUCAGUAACCCACACGAUGCUUCAAAGAUACACCAAACCCAACUUAUUCCAUUCAACCUAGAUAUGCAACCAUUCAUAAUUUUCUUUAUUCAUUUCUAGGCUCAUUAAAAUCACAUGCAAUUCUGUUCAUCAAUAAAUUCCAGAAAAAUUACAGGAGACUACUAGCUAAUCAUAAAGUCUACUGUAAAUUUUUCAUAAUUUUUUUGGUUACUUAUUUUGAGCCACAAAAAUCACAAGAUUAAUUGAUAAGGUAUGUAAAAUCACUCUACUGUGAUAUAAGUGUCAAACAACAGAUUUCAUAUUUUUACAAUUUGUCUAACAUCAUAAGAAACACCCACAAAAUUUUCCAGAUUUAUUGCAUGACCCAUUUAAUUAUUAAAAAUCAUAAAGCACUGCCAUGCAAGCAUUUAAAUUACCAUAAAUUCAUUUAUUCAUCAAAUAAUAUGUACCCACAUUUUCCCAGUGAGCAAACACACAUGCAAAGCCAACAAAUCAAGUUUCACAUUUUUCUGAGCCAUAUUUUAUUUACUAUGCAUUUUCCAAGUUUAACAAAAUCAUGGAUAAAAUAUAUUCACACAGAAAAGUUACUCCAACAUGACAUGCAAUUACAUCAAACUGUAGAUCUGGAAAUAUAGAGCACACCAAAAUUUAUUUCAUUCAAUUUGGAGCUGUAGAACUCAAGAUAUAGAUUUUACAAACUUUAAAUCAAUUUCUGGAAAACACUUUUUCAAGAAAACCGACGAAAAAGGCUACGCACACCCAGAUCUACACCCACCGGGGUACCCCUGCGACUGGCAGUGGGUCCCCGACCCCACCAGUCAGCGAGACCGAGAGGGAGCUCACCUCCGACGAGCGGAUUUCGCUGGCGGUGAGGUCUCCGGCCACGGGGUGAGCACCAACGUGCUCCCCGCAGCAAGACGCACCCAGCGGUACCCUUGGAUCGACCAGAGGACGGCCGGAACACCUCCGGCGAGCAUGCAUGGCGGCACGGCGGCGCUGCUCGUCGUGGCCAGGCUGCUCCGGUGCGGUAGAGCGUGCGCAAACGCCUCUCCGAGCUACCUCACCUUCCUACCGACCUAGCGCAACAGAGAACGAGCGAAAAGAGGCAGGGAAACGCUAGAUCCGUCGCGGCGGAGUACUCCGGCGAGCUCGGGGUAACUCCGGCGAGCGAUUCAUGGCGCUCGACGGACUCUCACCUCGGUAGAACGUUCGCACGAGCUUACCCUAGCGACGGCGAGUGCCCUGGUGCUCUCGGCGUCGAGCUUGAGGCUCUGGUGCGGCCGGCGACGAGCGGCGGAGCUCUCUCCGGCAAUGGCGCGCGGAGGAGCGGCUACUGCUGCGCGGUGCGAGCGAAGGAGGAAGGAGAAGGAGGGCGCGGGGGAGACAGGAUGGAGGGAGUGGCCUGGGAGCCUGCGCCGGCGUCCCGACCAGGGGGGUUAGAGGCCGGCCGCGGCGCGUCCAACGCCGGCGUACGGCCACCACGUGGCCGGCGCCGGGUGGGGCAAGGCGGGCGCCGCGCGCGCGGGAGAGAGGGGAGGGGGAGCGGGCCGCGCUGCCCAGCUGGGCCAGAAGGGAGGCGGGUCGGCCCAGCAGCGCCUGCCCCCUUUCUCCUUUUUUUUUUGAAAUUCUUUUCUCAAAUUCUUUCUAAAUUCAUUUGGACCAAUUUCAAAUCAUUUUCACCUCUUGCUCCCAAAAACAAAGUUGUUCCAAAACAAAAACUCUACAACUUUGCUUUAACAAGCAAGACCAAAUUCCAAACAGAAUUUGAAUUACAAGUUAAAACUCAGUUCUAGGUUUUAAAUAAAUUCUUUUUGGAUAUUUUUGUAUAAAUUCCAUUUCUCAAUUUCCAUAGCUCCAAAAAUUGCACAAAAAUAUUCUAAAUUCUUCUUACACAUAAAGCAACCUAAUUUGAAUAUUUCACAAUUUUAGAAGCAAGCAUCGUAUUUUUAGCAUAUUUAAACUCAUGAAGUGAAGCACAUCAAAUCAUAAUUUGAGAAGAGUGUCAUGCUCAUGAUGCUUAUGCUUGAUGGGAAUGCUUAUGCAUGACUUUGAUGAGACUAAGUGCAUGCUUAACACCUAGGGUGUUACAGCCCUCCCCCCCUUAGGGAAAUCUCGUCCCGAGAUUUUUGGGGUUACUAACCAUUUCUUAUGAAAUUUUGGAUAAACUGUUUUUAAGUAAUCCUCUGUUUCCCAAGUGGCAUCCCUAUCGUCAUGAUGACUCCACACCACCUUGUAUGUUCGAACAACUCUGUUUCGGGUUACUCGCUCCUUGGUAUCCACAAUCCCCACUGGCUGCUCUUUGUACUCUAGGUCUGCUUUUAUCUUGAUUCCUCGAGGUUCAAUUCUUUGCUCCGGUACUUUCAGACAUUUCCGCAGUUGAGACACAUGGAAGACCGGAAAGAUCGAGCUCAUCUCUUCAGGUAACUGAAUCUUGUAGGCCACUGGGCCUUUCCUUUCUAGCACUUGGUAUGGUCCCACAUAUCUGGGUGCAAGCUUGCUUCGAACUCGGAAACGUUGAAUUUUCUUCAUUGGCGUAACCUUGAGAUACACAUAGUCGCCUACUUUGAACUCAAGUUUCCUUCUCCUCUUGUCAGCAUAACUCUUCUGUCGUGAUUGCGCUGCUUGCAUAUGUUGCUGUAUAAUCUGCACCUUUUUCUCGGCAUCAUUCACAAAGUCGAUACCAUAGUAUCUUCUUUCACCAGGUUCCACCCAGUUUAACGGAGUUCGACAUCACCGCCCAUACAAAGCUUCGAACGGGGCCAUCUUGAUGCUCUCUUGAUAACUAUUAUUAUAUGAGAACUCAGCCAAAGGUAACCAUGAUUCCCACGAUCCCUUGGAUGAUAGCACACAGGCCCUCAGCAUAUCUUCUAACACUUGGUUUAGCCUCUCUGUUUGGCCUGAAGUCUGGGGAUGAUACGCUGUGCUUCUUAUCAGACUGGUCCCCAAACUCUUAUGCAUGCGCUCCCAGAAGUGAGCAGUGAACUGCGGUCCUCUAUCCGAUAUGAUGGUUUUGGGGAUACCAUGCAACUUGACGAUCUCAGCCAUAUAUAUAUCAGCAUACUCGGGAGGUCUGUAUGUGUUCUUGACUGGAAUGAAAUGAGCCGACUUGGUUAAUCGAUCUAUGAUUACCCAAAUCGAGUCAUUCCCCUUCCUGGUUGUCGGUAAGCCGGUGAUAAAGUCCAUACUGACCUCUUCCCAUUUCCACUCCGGAACUGAUAACGGUUGUAACAGACCUGCAGGUUUCAUAUGGAUGGCCUUAACUCUGCAACAUGUGUCACAACGGGCCACAUAAGCGGCUAUUUCUUUCUUCAUCUUGGUCCACCAAAAGUGGGGCCUUAGAUCUUGAUACAUUUUGCUGCUGCCAGGAUGAAUAGAAAGCUUAGAGAGAUGGGCUUCAUCCAUGAUGCGAUUCUUCAACUCCCGAUCUUUCGGGACCACUAACCGCUGUUGAAACCACAGUACCCCCUUCUCAUCAACCCGAAACUGAGUCUUUGGGUCAUCUUUGAUCUUCUCUUUGAUGUGGAAAAUACCCUUGUCUGUUUUCUGACCUUCAAUGACUUGACUCUCGAGUGAACAACUGAGUUGUAUAUGACAUAAGACCUCAGGAUGCAUAAGAUUGAAUCCAUCUUCAAACAAUGGUUGCACCACUUGAUAGUGCGGUUUACGACUCAACGCAUCUGCUACCACAUUAGCCUUGCCUGGAUGAUAGUGAACCUCCAGAUCAUAGUCCUUGAUUAACUCUAACCACCGUCGUUGCCUCAUAUUCAGCUCGGACUGAGUGAAGAUGUAUUUCAAACUCUUGUGAUCGGUGUAGAUGUGACACUUAUUUCCUAGCAGAUAAUGUCUCCAAAUCUUCAAGGCAUGCACCACUGCUGCUAACUCGAGGUCGUGCGUUGGGUAAUUGACUUCAUGCUUUCUCAGCUGUCGGGAAGCAUAAGCUAUCACCCUGCCAUCUUGCAUCAACACACAUCCCAGGCCACUCUUCGAUGCGUCACAAAACACAUCAAAAGGCUUCUCUAUAUUGGGUUGCGCCAGAACGGGGGCAGUGGUUAGCAACUUUCGCAAGGUGCGGAAGGCUAACUCACACCCUUCCGUCCAGACAAACUUAUGAUCCUUUUGUAGCAAACUUGUCAUUGGCUUAGCAAUCUUGGAGAAGUCAGGUAUGAAGCGACGAUAAUACCCGGCCAGACCAAGAAAACUUCUAACUUCCGAGACAGAAGUUGGUGCCUUCCAGUCCAUGACUUCCUGCACUUUUGAUGGAUCCACAGCAAUUCCUUCUUCAGAUAGAAUGUGCCCUAGGAAAGGAACUUUCUUCAACCAGAACUCACACUUGCUGAACUUGGCAUAUAACUGGUGCUCUCGUAAUCGUGUCAGCACGAUUCUCAGAUGUUCGACGUGAUCUUGCUCAUUUUCUGAAUACACCAGGAUAUCAUCGAUAAACACCACAACAAACUUAUCCAAUUCUGGCAUAAAGACUGAAUUCAUCAGAUACAUAAAGUAUGCAGGAGCAUUUGUCAACCCAAAGGACAUGACAAGAUACUCAUACAACCCAUAUCUGGUGGAAAAAGCAGUCUUCGGGAUAUCUUGCGGACGAAUCUUGAUUUGGUGAUACCCAGAUCUCAAAUCUAUCUUAGAAAACACUCUGGCCUUGGAUAACUGAUCAAACAGGAUAUCAAUCCUUGGCAGGGGAUACUUAUUCUUGAUCGUCACUGCAUAGAGUGGACGAUAGUCCACGCACAUGCGCAACGACUGAUCCUUCUUUUUCACAAACAACGCUGGACAACCCCAUUCCGACGAGCUUGGCCGGAUGAACCCUUUUUCUAGUAACUCCUUCAGUUGCUUCUUCAACUCUGCGAGUUCGUUUGGUGGCAUCCGGUACGGCCUUCUAGAUAUUGGUGCUGUACCUGGUAUCAACUCGAUUGCAAACUCUACCUCCCUAUCUGGGGGAAGUCCUGGUAACUCCUCGGGAAACACAUCAGGGAACUCACAUACUACGGGUAUGUGUUCUAGGGGAACUACCUGUACUGCACACGAAAGACUGGCGAAGUCCAAACGCCGGGGUAACUUGACCUGAAACACACCCUUCCCUUGCGGCUCUCUGAGCGAAAGGGUUCUAUUCCCAACAUCUAUAACCGUGCCCCAGUCAGUCAUCUUGUUCAUUCCAAUGAUGACAUCCAAAACCAGUCCUGGCAUGACCACAAGGUUUACACGAAACCUCCGGCCACUGAUAUCCAAAGUAACUCCUGUUACCAUUUUAUUAGUCAACACAUCGGCUCCGGCUGAGCUGAUGCGAUAGCCAUAACCUAACUCAGUAACUGGCUGAUCAUGCUUUUGUGCAAAUGCUUGGCUCAUGAAUGAAUGCGAUGAUCCAGAAUCAAACAAAACAACUGCGAGAUGUUGGUUGACAGGAAACAUACCAGCUGUCACCAGUUCUCCUUCCGGGAUCUCCUCAAUCGAGGUAUGGUGCACACGAGCUGGAUAGGUUGGCUGCUGCCUCUUGGGGUAGGGACAUUCCUUAGCAAAGUGCCCCAUCUUGUGGCAGUUAUAGCACAGACCCUUGGGCGCAUUGUUGACGGCAGGUGCUGCAGCUUGAAUUGCCUUUGGCUUGGCAGGAGCUAUCGCCACCUUGUACGGCUUCUGCUGGGUUGGAUGCCCGGUGUUCCUUCUCUGCGGCGGUCGGAACCUAGCACCUGGGGCAGGAGGACGAUACUGCUGUCGCCCUGUCACUGGUGCCCUGGACUGAGAUGAUCCUGCUUCAAAAGCCCUUUUACGUGACUUGGAUGCACUGUAGUUGUUGUUAUUGUUCUCUUGGGUCAGACAGUCACUGAUAUAGGCAUUGAAAGUAGCCCUGGCCCCUGUACCCAUGGUCUUCAGCAUCUUUGGAUUCAAGCCUCUCUGGAAACUAGCAAUCUUCUUAGCCUCCGUGUUCACAAACUCAGGGGCAUAGCGAGCGAGAUUGUUGAAAGCGUGUAGAUACUCCUUCACAGACUUCGUCCCUUAGGACAGCCUCAUGAACUCCCCAACCUUCAUUUCAACCACACCAGGAGGAAUGUAAUUUCCCCAGAAAGUGGUGGCGAAGCGGUUCCAGGUGAUUGGUGUCCCCUCUGGGUAGGUGGUACGGUGAUGGGACCACCAAAUCCUAGCAGGUCCUUGCAACUGAUGUGCCGCAUACUCAGCCUUGAGUUCUUCUGUCAUUCGGAGAAGACGAAACUUCUGCUCCAUGGUGUUGAUCCACUCAUCUGCUUCGAGCGGUUCCAAGGCCUCCUUAAAGAUUGGUGGCUUGGUAUCCAUGAAGUCCUUGAACGAGCUGUACUGGUUGACCUCCCGGCCACCCUGAUUAUCCCCACGACGGGUGUUGUCAGCUAUGUUGCGCAAAGCUUCUUCCAUGUUGCGCUGCAUCUGUUCCAUGUUGCGUUGGCUCCCCAGAAACUGCGCGAAAAACACAUCCGCAGUGUACGGGGGAGGCGGUGGUGGGGGCGGUGUUGGUGCUCUGUCCUCAUUCCAUUGAGCCCCACCUCCGGAUGUACCUGCUCCAAGGCCCGGGUUGCUGUUACCCCCGCCACGUGUUUGCACCAUCUGCAUAUGCCAAUGAUAAGCAAUCAUUAGGAGUUGCCCUCAAUGGUAGAAAAUGUGUAAAAUCGUGCCAUACUGAAUUUACUGAGGGAAUAAAUUCACACAAUAAACAAAGGCACAACAACUCAUCAUCCACGCACAACAUCACUAACAGAUUACUUAACAUUCACGUAGCAAGGUUUGCAUACAUCCAACUUGCCAGCAUACAUACACUAGACUUUUAGCAUUAACUCAUAAAGUCUUACACAGCCCAGAUCCAAAAGUACACGACAUGCCAUGCAACAUACAUCACAAAAGAGGAAGGACUAGCUCUAGAGCCCUAGCAUCUACUCGCUAUGGUCACUGUCCAUGCCGGAACCAUCCUCAUCUUCAUCACCACUAGCAGCUGCUCCUAUCUCGGGAUCCGCGUCCAUCUCGUCCUCAGAGUCUAGCUCAGCUACUCCAGGCAGGUGGUGAGGGUGGAGCUGGUUAUGCAGCUGGUGGAUCUCCUCAUGCAAGUUCUCAUUGUACUCCUCAGCAUUAGCUAGCUGCUGCUCUAGCUCUAGCUGUCGGGCCCUCAAAGUGUCCUCCUCGUGCCAGGCUUCAUUCCUCUGUCCAAGCACAUGGACUAGCAUGCGCUCGCAGUUCCUGUGAGCAGUAGUCACCCUGUCCUUCUGCCCCCGCACUGCAAGCAGGUCCUGACUCAGCUCACUGUUCUCCUGGACCGCCUGGUCUCUCUCUCUGGUCACACGGGCCAACUCUGCCUGUAGCCUCUCAACCUCAGAGUCAAACUCACGCUGCAACUGACGCUUCUCAUCCUGGACGGUGAGAAGAGACCCGGACAAGCGACCCAAACAACGCUCCAGGCCUCCAUAGGUCUUCAUCAACGCGUACAUGGCACUCAUAGCUGCACUGUCACUGUGCUGGUCCUCAUCCGCACUCCUCUCUAGAGCAUUCACCUCGGACUGAUCCCACACCGAAGUGUAAGGGUCACCCCGGGGAAACACCCCAGCGAAGGCGUGGGCCAGCUCCUGUGGAAACCUCUCCAUGAGGUCCCUCAAAACUGCGAAAGUUGCCCUGCUGGCACCGUGGAAAGGCGUGACACCUCGGGACUCGUACAACCAACCGACCCAAGCAGGGUCUCCUCCACUGGUAGGGACAACUGCCUCGAUCCCCACCAGGGUCUCGUCACCAAGCGGCUCCUUAUCCCAAUAGUAGCGAGGCUCCCUUCCUUCGGGAUACCCCAUCGAACUGAGCACCCUCCAAAGCAAAGUGGGCAUCCCAAACUCCUCCAGGAACUUGCUCUUAUGUCGCGAGCUCCUAGCUGCCAACGGAUGGCGAGGGGCCCGCCCACCAGUGGACUUGCGAGCGGUGAGCCUAGUGCGUGCCAUCUGCUGCAAAUGGAAUACCGUGGGUAAGAGUGAGGAUUACCUUUAAUUAUUUUAUUUAGAAUUGGGACAGAUUAAAUUAAGGGGGAAAGUAAGCAAUGAUAUGGAAUGAACAUGAUGUAUGCACGAACUUACGAUCUCACAAACCUAGAAACAAGGGUUAACACUAAGCGGUAUAUGCGGUGGCAUACAACGUUCUCUCAUAACGUAACUAGCGUUCUAAGCGGGAACGUGGUUAGGGUACCUGCAGAAAACUCAUUUCAGCCCACCCACAGUAUGAUCGUGCAGAACAAAAUUUAAAACUAUGCACUUCACAUACACAGACACCCGUCCAUGCAUGUGACGUGUCACUACCCACAUCAUCGCCCUAAUGACGGCAUCGCCUCUCAGGACGGAAUUCCCAGCAUGCGGUACUGUUCCCGAGACACACCAAACAUGUGUGCAUGACACAGUACCUAGCAACACUCCCCUAGACCGGCAGUGUAUCCGAUCAUGCUCUCACAGCUCCCACUUACCGUGGCGUAGAGGAAAAAGGGAUCCAUACAUUACCACUCAAAUGAAUGGCACUCAUACUAUUGCACGCCGUAUGAGCGACGAAAAUAGAAAUAUGAUGCAUUCACCCCUGUAACACCCUAGGUGUUAAGCAUGCACUUAGCCUUGGCAAAGCAAUGCAUAAGCAUCCUCAUCAAUCAUAAGCAUCAUGAGCAUGUCAUUCUUUUCAAGUAUGAUUUUAUGUGCAUCAUUUCAUGUGUUUUAAAUAUGUUAAAAAUAUGAUGCUUGCUUCUAAAAUUGUGAAAUAUUCAAAUUAGGUUGCUUUAUGUGUAAGAAGAAUUUAGAAUAUUUUUGUGCAAUUUUUGGAGCUAUGGAAUUUGAGAAAUAGAAUUUAUACAAAUUUUCCCAAAAUGAAUUUAUUUAAAACCUAGAACUGAGUUUUAACUUGUAAUUCAAAUUUUGUUUGGAAUUUGGUCUUGCUUGUCAAAGCAAAGUUGUAGAGUUUUUAAUUUGGAACAACUUUGUUUUUGGGAGCAAGAGGAGAAAAUGAUUUUAAAUUGGUCCAAAUGAAUUUAGAAAGAAUUUGAGAAAAGAAAUUCAAAAAAAAAGGGAAAGGGGGCAGGCGCUGCUGGGCCGACCCGCCUCCCUUCUGGCCCAGCUGGACAGCGCGGCCCGCUCCCCCUCCCCUCUCUCCCGCGCGCGCGGCGCCCGCCUCGCUCCACCCGGCGCCGGCCACGUGGCAGCCGUACGCCGGCGUUGGACGCGCCGCGGCCGGCCUCCAACCCCCCUGGUCGGGACGCCGGCGCAGGCUCCCAGGCCACUCCCUCCAUUCUGUCUCCCCCGCGCCCUCCUUCUCCUUCCUCCUCCGCUCGCACCACGCAGCAGCAGCCGCUCCUCCGCGCGCCAUUGCCGGAGAGAGCUCCGCCGCUCGUCGCCGGCCACACCAGAGCCUCAAGCUCGACGCCGAGAGCACCAGGGCACUCGCCGUCGCUAGGGUAAGCUCGUGCGAACGUUCCACCGAGGUGAGAGUCCGUCGAGCGCCGUGAAUCGCUCGCCGGAGUCACCCCGAGCUCGCCGGAGUACUCCGCCGCGACGGAUCUAGCGUUUCCCUGCCUCUUUUCGCUCGUUCUCUAUUGCGCUAGGUCGGUAGGAAGGUGAGGAAGCUCGGAGAGGCGUUUGCGCACGCUCUACCGCGCCGGAGCAGCCUGGCCACGGCGAGCAGCGCCGCCGUGCCGCCAUGCAUGCUCGCCGGAGGUGUUCCGGCCGUCCUCUGGUCGAUCCAAGGGUACCGCUGGGUGCGUCUUGCUGCGGGGAGCACGUUGGUGCUCACCCCGUGGCCGGAGACCUCACCGCCGGCGAGAUCCGCUCGUCGGAGGUGAGCUCCCUCUCGGUCUCGCUGACUGGUGGGGUCGGGGACCCACUGUCAGUCGCAGGGGUACCCCGGUGGGUGUAGAUCUGGGUGUGCGUAGCCUUUUUCGUCGGUUUUCUUGAAAAAGUGUUUUCCACAAAUUGAUUUAAAGUUUGUAAAAUCUAUAUCUUGAGUUCUACAGCUCCAAAUUGAAUGAAAUAAAUUUUGGUGUGCUCUAUAUUUCCAGAUCUACAGUUUGAUGUAAUUGCAUGUCAUGUUGGAGUAACUUUUCUGUGUGAAUAUAUUUUAUCCAUGAUUUUGUUAAACUUGGAAAAUGCAUAGUAAAUAAAAUAUGGCUCAGAAAAAUGUGAAACUUGAUUUGUUGGCUUUGCAUGUGUGUUUGCUCACUGGGAAAAAUUGGGUACAUAUUAUUUGGUGUAUAAAUGAAUUUAUGGUAAUUUAAAUGCUUGCAUGGCAGUACUUUAUGAUUUUUAAUAAUUAAAUGGGUCAUGCAAUAAAUCUGGAAAAUUUUGUGGGUGUUUCUUAUGAUAUUAUGCAAAUUGUAAAAAUAUGAAAUCUGUUGUUUAACACUUGUAUCCCAGUAGAGUGAUUUUACUUGCCUUAUUAAUUAAUCUUGUGAUUUUUGUGGCUCAAAAUAAGCAUCCAAAAAUCAUGAAAAAUUUGCAGUAGACUUUAUGCUUAGCUAGUAGUCUCCUGUAAUUUUUGUGGAAUUUAUUGAUGAACAGAAUUGCAUUUGAUUUUUAAUGGGCUUAGAAAUGAAUAAAGAAAAUUAUGAAUGGUUGUGUAUGUAGGUUGAAUGAAAUAAGUUGGGUUUGGUGUAUCUUUGAAGCAUCAUGGGGGUUGCUGGUUGCAUUUGAAAAAUAUCUGUAGAAGAGAAUGCAACAGAUGCUUAAUUUAGUUAUUGUUCCCGGAUGAUGUUGACUACCUUGUAAUAAGCGUGACCCAGUGCAUCACCUAUGCAUCAUAACAUGACUCCUUUGACACUCUCUCUUACAAGCAUCCACUCGGGCAUCUCACACUCCACUCAUGAGCAUAUAUGCAUCAUACAGGCUCGCAGGAGAACGAAGUGGGACCCGAGGAACCCGAGGAGAUAGAGGAGCAGGAACCUCCGGAAGCACAGGAACCCGGAGAGGAAUUUCAAGAGUGUCCGGAUCACCGACCCAGCACGUUUGAGAAAGGCAAGCCCCGGAGCAUUCUAAGUCUCCCUAUUCUCGCUAACUUAUAUAAAGUGCUAUACUUGUUCUACUGUAUUGCAUAUUAAGUGAUAGGAGUUGCCUGAUACCGUUGCUGCAUGAGUACUCCUUGUUAUUCCUACUCAUUCAACUACCUUGUCCUAUGUAGAUAGGCACGGAGUCUAUGCUUAGCUUGCUUAGUUCGGUAGAAGUCGGGUGAUUCCCUGUCACCUGCGAGAUAUAGGUGGAUACCUGCUUGAUUAAGCAUUGGUUGCUCGGGGAAAAGAAUAACCAAGUGUGGAAUGAAUUUGGAGACCGGGCGGGGUCUUAUGGUGGGUUGACCAUGGUGCCCCUGCCUGUGUCGAUUAAGGACCGAUCGUUGACGGCCCUCUUGUCAUGUUGAACGCAUGCCCCACACUUAGCUGGAAGGAUAAGUCGUUCCGACCGCGAAGCCUGAACACUAUCCGGGCCGGGAAUCGAGCCGCCAUGCGCUGUAUUGGUGAUGGUUGAGGAGAACGACGAGGGCGCGGCGCGCAACCUUGGUAUACCCUGGAUACCUCGGUCGCCGGAACGGUCCUCGGGUACUGGCGGUGCCUGCCGAACCCGCGAAUUGGUCCUGGAUAGUGUAAUACGGUGAUCUGUAGCUCACUUGAUCAGUGAGUGUGGUUUGUGUGGGGAAUACCUCGCCAGCUGGUUAGAAAUCGAUUCGAAUCGCCAUCGCUCCUGGAUAGUGAGCACUUGACAUGAGCUUCGUCCUCGUAGUAAGGACUAUGAAACACUUGGGUUAUAAUGAUGAAUGGUUUAGGAAAUGCUUUAUGAGGUACUAUCAUAGUCUCAUACUUGCUUGAAAUAGCACAGGAGCAAACCUAGAUAAUAGGUAAUGAUACUUUCAACUUGAGCAAAUUAAAAGAAGAAAAGAUUUAGGUAGGUUAGGGUAAUAAAACCUUGCGGUCUUUGCAAAAUGGUUGUCAGCUACCCCACCAAAUAGCCUUCAUGAUCCUUGAUGAGUCUUUAUUUUAAGUUUAUGACGGGUAAGUCUAGCUGAGUACCUUCUCGUACUCAGGGUUCUAUUCCCAUGUUGUUUUGCAGAUGGUCAAAUGUACUAUGGUUAUUGCAUCCUCUGUCUGUACCCAGCUAUGGGUGAUGACUAGACCAAGGGCGAUGGUCACUCCGUCUCUUCCUUUGCUUUUGUGGGAAUGACCAAACUAUGGCACUGUAUCAGACUUAUCGUGUGUGUUGUAAUUUCGAACUAUGAAGCUUCCGCUACUUGAAGAACUUGGUUUGUAAUAACUUAAGUACUCCGAUGUGUUUCAUGAAUGUUGUAAUUUGGAUGUACUUAUGGAUGACGGCCGCUAAACUUAUUACGAUCUUGGUUGUAUGCGAUAUGUGGUUUGAAAUCCUUCGAGAUUUCACGGACUACCGGGAUUAUAUGGGCUUAAGCGUGAUGGUUCGACUAUGCAAAUGGUCACUAUUAGGCUUAAUCUCUUAUAAUUUGGUCGGUUCUGUUACAGCUGGCAUCGGAGCAAGGUUUAGCGAGUUACUGUUCAUAAGUACGUUUUAAACAAAAAUCUAAACCGGUUUAGUAAAAGAUUUAAUUAAUUAAUUAAUAAUGAUCAAGGUGUUAAACUAAGUUUUGGGAAAAUUAUCUAGUGUGCCAUGGUCAUAUCCUUUAUGCCCAGUUAAGGACUCUAAGGUGGCUAGCUAAGUACUGACUUGGGGGUUAAUGCAUCAUAUUUUUAUUUCGUCGCUCAUACGGCGUGCAAUAGUAUGAGUGCCAUUCAUUUGAGUGGUAAUGUAUGGAUCAAUUCUUCCUCUACGCCAUGGUAAGUGGGAGUUGUGAGCGCAUGAUCGGAUACACUGCCGGUCUAGGGAAGUGUUGUCAGGUGCUGUGUCAUGCACACAUGUUGGUGUGUCUUGGGAACAGUACCGCAUGCUGGGAAUUCCGUCCUGAGAGACGAUGCCGUCAUUAGGGCGAUGAUGUGGGUAGUGACACGUCACAUGCAUGGACGGGUGUCUGUGUAUGUGAAGUGUAUAGUUUUAAAUUUUGUUCUGCACGAUCAUACUGUGGGUGGGCUGAAAUGAGUUUUCUGCAGGUACCCUAACCACGUUCUCGCUUAGAACGCUAGUUACGUUAUGAGCGAACGUUGUAUGCCACCGCGUAUACCGCUUAGUGUUAACCUUUGUUUUCUAAGUUUGUGAGAUCGUAAGUUCGUACAUGCAUCAUGUGCAUUUCAUAUCAUUGCUUACUUUCCCCCUUAAUUUAAUCUGUCCCAAUUUUAAAUGAAAUAAAUAAAGGUAAUCCUCGCUCUUACCCACGGUAUUCCAUUUGCAGCAGAUGGCACGCACUAGGCUCACCGCUCGCAAGUCCACUGGUGGGCGGGCCCCUCGCCGUCCGUUGGCAGCUAGGAGCUCGCGACAUAAGAGCAAGUUCCUAGAGGAGUUUGGGAUGCCCACUUUGCUUUGGAGGGUGCUCAGUUCGAUGGGGUAUCCUGAAGGAAGGGAGCCUCGCUACUAUUGGGAUAAGGAGCCGCUUGGUGACGAGACCCUGGUGGGGAUCGAGGCAGUUGUCCCUACCAGUGGAGGAGACCCUGCUUGGGGCGGUUGGGUGUACGAGUCCCGAGGUGUCACGCCUUUCCACGGUGCCAGCAGGGCAGCUUUCGCAGUUUCGAGGGACCUCAUGGAGAGGUUUCCACAGGAGCUGGCCCACGCCUUCGCUGGGGUGUUUCCCCGGGGUGACCCUUACACUUCGGUGUGGGAUCAGUCCGAGGUGAAUGCUCUAGAGAGGAGUGCGGAUGAGGACCCGCACAGUGACAGUGCAGCUAUGAGUGCCAUGUACGCGUUGAUGAAGACCUAUGGAGGCCUGGAGCGUUGUUUGGGUCGCUUGUCCGGGUCUCUUCUCACCGUCCAGGAUGAGAAGCGUCAGUUGCAGCGUGAGUUUGACUCUGAGGUUGAGAGGCUACAGGCAGAGUUGGCUCGUGUGACCAGAGAGAGAGACCAGGCAGUCCAGAAGAACAGUGAGCUGAGUCAGGACCUGCUUGCAGUGCGAGAGCAGAAGGACAGGGUGACUACUGCUCACAGGAACUGCGAGCGCAUGCUAGUCCAUGUGCUUGGACAGAGGAAUGAAGCCUGGCACGAGGAGGACACUUUGAGGGCCCGACAGCUAGAGCUAGAGCAGCAGCUAGCUAAUGCUGAGGAGUACAAUGAAAACUUGCAUGAGGAGAUCCACCAGCUGCAUAACCAGCUCCACCCUCACCACCUGCCUAGAGCAGCGGAGCUAGACUCUGAGGACGAGAUGGACGUGGAUCCCGAGAUAGGAGCAGCUGCUAGUGGUGAUGAAGAUGAGGAUGGCUCCGGCAUGGACAGUGACCAUAGCGAGUAGAUGCUAGGGCUCUAGAGCUAGUCUUUCCUCUUUUGUGAUGUAUGUUGCAUGGCAUGUCAUGUACUUUUGGAUCUGGGCUGUGUAAGACUUUAUGAGUUGAUGCUGAAAGUCCAGUGUAUGUAUGCUGGCAAGUUGGAUGUACGCGAACCUUGUUGCGUGAAUGUUAAGUAAUCUGUUAGUGAUGUUGUGCGUGGAUGACGAGUUGUUGUGCCUUUGUUUAUUGUGUGAAUUUAUUCCCUCAGUAAAUUCAGUAUGGCACGAUUUUACACAUUUUCUACCGGUUGAUGGCAACUCCUAACGAUUGCUUAUCAUUGGCGUAUGCAGAUGGUGCAAACACGUGGCGGGGGUAACAGCAAUCCGGGUCUUGGAGCAGGUACAUCCGGAGGUGGGGCUCAACAGAAUGAGGACAGAGCACCAACACCGCCCCCACCACCGCCUCCCCCGUACAGGGGCCAGGGCUACUUUCAAUGCCUAUAUCAGUGACUGUCUGACCCAAGAGAACAAUAACAACAACUACAGUGCAUCCAAGUCACGUAAAAGGGCUUUUGAAGCAGGAUCAUCCCAGUCCAGGGCACCAGUGGCAGGGCGACAGCAGUAUCGUCCUCCUGCCCCGGGUGCUAAGUUCCGACCACCGCAGAGAAGGAACACCGGGCAUCCAACCCAGCAGAAGCCAUACAAGGUGGUGAUAGCUCCUGCCAAGCCAAAGGCAAUUCAAGCCGCAGCACCUGCCACCAACAAUGCGCCCAAGGGUCCGUGCUAUAACUGCCACAAGAUGGGGCACUUUGCUAAGGAAUGUCCCUACCCCAAAAGGCAGCAGCCAACCUAUCCAGCUCGUGUGCAUCAUUCCUCGAUUGAGGAAAUCCCGGAAGGAGAACCGGUAACAGCUGGUAUGUUUUCUGUCAACCAACAUCUUGCAGUUGUUUUGUUUGAUUCUGGAUCAUCGCAUUCAUUCAUGAGCCAAGCAUUUGCACAAAAGCAUAAUCAACCAGUUACAGAUCUGGGCUAUGGCUACCGCAUCAGCUCAGCAGGGGCAGAUGUGUUGACCAAUAGAGUGGUCCGAGGGGCAACCCUGGAUAUAAGUGGCCGAGUUUUUCGGGUAAAUCUAGUGGUCAUGCCUGGGUUAGUUUUGGAUGUUAUCAUGGGCAUGAACUGGAUGAGAGAAUGGGAUGCUGUCAUAGAUACUGGAAAGAGGAUGUUAUCUCUCAGAGAACCACAGGGCAGUAACUCUUUUCAAGUACCUCUGCCCCGUCGUCUUGACUUUGCUAGCAUCUCCUGUGCUACGCACGUGGUCCCUUUACCACAGAUCCCAGUAGUCUGUGAGUUCCCUGAUGUGUUUCCCGAGGAGUUACCAGGACUUCCCCUAGAUAGGGAGGUAGAGUUUGCAAUCGAGUUGAUACCAGGUACAGCACCAAUAUCUAGAAGGCCGUACCGGAUGCCACCAAACGAACUCGCAGAGUUGAAGAAGCAACUGAAGGAGUUACUAGAAAAAGGGUUCAUCCGGCCCAGCUCGUCGGAAUGGGGUUGGCCAGCGUUGUUUGUGAAAAAGAAGGAUCAGUCGUUGCGCAUGUGCGUGGACUAUCGUCCACUCAAUGCAGUGACAAUCAAAAAUAAGUAUCCCUUGCCAAGGAUUGAUAUCCUGUUUGAUCAGUUAUCCAAGGCAAGAGUGUUUUCUAAGAUAGAUUUGAGAUCUGGGUAUCACCAAAUCAAGAUUCGUCCGCAAGAUAUCCCGAAGACUGCUUUUUCCACCAGGUAUGGGUUGUACGAGUAUCUUGUCAUGUCCUUUGGGUUGACAAAUGCUCCUGCAUACUUUAUGUAUCUGAUGAAUUCAGUCUUUAUGCCAGAAUUGGAUAAGUUUGUUGUAGUGUUUAUCGAUGAUAUCCUGGUGUAUUCAGAAAAUGAGCAAGAUCACGCCGAGCAUCUGAGAAUCGUGCUGACACGGUUACGAGAGCAUCAGUUAUAUGCCAAGUUCAGCAAGUGUGAGUUCUGGUUAAAGAAAGUUCCUUUCCUAGGGCACAUUCUGUCUGAAGAAGGAAUUGUUGUGGAUCCAUCAAAAGUGCAGGAAGUCAUGGACUGGAAGGCACCAACUUCGGUCUCGGAAGUUAGAAGUUUUCUUGGUCUGGCCGGGUAUUAUCGUCGUUUUAUACCUGACUUCUCCAAGAUUGCUAAGCCAAUGACAAGUUUGCUACAAAAGGACCAUAAGUUUGUCUGGGCGGAAGGGUGUGAGUUAGCCUUCCGCACCUUGCGAAAGUUGCUAACCACUGCUCCCGUUCUGGCACAACCUAAUAUAGAGAAGCCUUUUGAUGUGUUUUGUGACGCAUCGAAGAGUGGCCUGGGGUGUGUGUUGAUGCAAGAUGGCAGGGUGAUAGCUUAUGCUUCCUGACAGUUGAGAAAGCAUGAAGUCAACUAUCCAACGCACGACCUUGAGUUAGCAGCCGUGGUACAUGCUUUGAAGAUCUAGAGACAUUAUCUGCUAGGAAAUAAGUGUCACAUUUACACCGAUCACAAGAGUUUGAAGUACAUCUUCACUCAGUCCGAGCUGAAUAUGAGGCAACGACGGUGGUUAGAGCUAAUCAAGGAUUAUGACCUGGAAGUUCACUAUCAUCCAGGCAAAGCUAAUGUGGUCGCAGAUGCUUUGAGUCGCAAACUACACUAUCAAAUGGUUCAACCGUUGUUUGAAGAUGGGUUCAAUCUUAUGCAUCCUGAGGUCUUAUGUCAUAUACAACUCAGUUGUUCGCUCGAGAGUCAAGUCAUUGAAGGUCAGAAAACAGACAAGGCUAUUUUCCACAUCAAAGAGAAGAUCAAAGAUGACCCAAAGACUCAGUUUCGGGUUGAUGAGAAGGGGGUACUGUGGUUUCAACAGCGGUUAGUGGUCCCGAAAGAUCGGGAAUUGAAGAAUCGCAUCAUGGAUGAAGCUCAUCUCUCUAAGCUUUCUAUUCAUCCUGGCAGUAGCAAAAUGUAUCAAUAUCUAAGGCCCCACUUUUGGUGGACCAAGAUGAAGAAAGAAAUAGCCGCUUACGUGGCCCGUUGUGACACGUGUUGCAGAGUUAAGGCCAUCCAUAUGAAACCUGCAAGUCUGUUACAACCGUUAUCAGUUCUGGAGUGGAAAUGGGAAGAGGUCAGUAUGGACUUUAUCACCGGCUUACCGACAACCAGGAAGGGGAAUGACUCGAUUUGGGUAAUCAUAGAUCGAUUAACCAAGUCGGCUCAUUUCAUUCCAGUCAAGAACACAUACAGACCUCCCGAGUAUGCUGAUAUAUAUAUGGCUGAGAUCGUCAAGUUGCAUGGUAUCCCCAAAACCAUCAUAUCGGAUAGAGGACCGCAGUUCACCGCUCACUUCUGGGAGCGCAUGCAUAAGAGUUUGGGGACCAGUCUGAUAAGAAGCACGGCAUACCAUCCCCAGACUUCAGGCCAAACUGAAAGGCUAAAUCAAGUGUUAGAAGAUAUGCUGAGGGCCUGUGUGUUAUCAUCCAAAGGAUCGUGGGAAUCGUGGUUACCUUUGGCUGAGUUCUCCUACAAUAAUAGUUAUCAAGAGAGCAUCAAGAUGGCCCCGUUCGAAGCUUUGUAUGGUCGAAGAUGUAGAACUUCGUUAAACUGGGUGGAACCUGGGGAAAGAAGAUACUAUGGUAUCGACUUUGUGAAUGAUGCCGAGAAAAAGGUGCAGAUUAUACAGCAACAUAUGCAAGCAGCGCAAUCACGGCAGAAGAGUUAUGCUGACAAGAGGAGAAGGCCGCUUGAGUUCAAAGUAGGCGACUAUGUGUAUCUCAAGGUUACGCCAAUGAAGAAAGUUCAACGUUUCCGAGUUCGAAGCAAGCUUGCACCCAAAUAUGUGGGACCAUACCAAGUGCUAGAAAGGAAAGGCCCAGUGGCCUACAAGGUUCAGUUACCUGAGGAGAUGAGCUCGAUCUUUCCGGUCUUCCAUGUGUCGCAACUACGGAAAUGUUUGAAGGUGCCGGAGCAAAGAAUCGAACAUCGAGGAAUCAAGAUAAAAGCGGACUUGGAAUAUAAAGAGCAGCCAGUGGGAAUUGUGGAUACCAAGGAGCGAGUAACCCGAAACAGAGUUGUUCGAACAUACAAGGUGGUUUGGAGUCAUCAUGACGAUAGGGAUGCCACUUGGGAAACAGAGGAUUACUUAAAAACAGUUUAUCCAAAAUUUCACAAGAAAUGGUUAGUAACCCAAAAUCUCGGGACGAGAUUUCCCUAAGGGGGGAAGGGCUAUAACACCCUAGGUGUUAAGCAUGCACUUAGCCUUGGCAAAGCAAUGCAUAAGCAUCCUCAUCAAUCAUAAGCAUCAUGAGCAUGUCAUUCUUUUCAAGUAUGAUUUUAUGUGCAUCAUUUCAUGUGUUUUAAAUAUGUUAAAAAUAUGAUGCUUGCUUCUAAAAUUGUGAAAUAUUCAAAUUAGGUUGCUUUAUGUGUAAGAAGAAUUUAGAAUAUUUUUGUGCAAUUUUUGGAGCUAUGGAAUUUGAGAAAUAGAAUUUAUACAAAUUUUCCCAAAAUGAAUUUAUUUAAAACCUAGAACUGAGUUUUAACUUGUAAUUCAAAUUUUGUUUGGAAUUUGGUCUUGCUUGUCAAAGCAAAGUUGUAGAGUUUUUAAUUUGGAACAACUUUGUUUUUGGGAGCAAGAGGUAAAAAUGAUUUAAAAUUGGUCCAAAUGAAUUUAGAAAGAAUUUGAGAAAAGAAAUUCAAAAAAAAAGGGAAAGGGGGCAGGCGCUGCUGGGCCGACCCGCCUCCCUUCUGGCCCAGCUGGACAGCGCGGCCCGCGACCCACUGUCAGUCGCAGGGGUACCCCGGUGGGUGUAGAUCUGGGUGUGCGUAGCCUUUUUCGUCGGUUUUCUUGAAAAAGUGUUUUCCAGAAAUUGAUUUAAAGUUUGUAAAAUCUAUAUCUUGAGUUCUACAGCUCCAAAUUGACUGAAAUAAAUUUUGGUGUGCUCUAUAUUUCCAGAUCUACAGUUUGAUGUAAUUGCAUGUCAUGUUGGAGUAACUUUUCUGUGUGAAUAUAUUUUAUCCAUGAUUUUGUUAAACUUGGAAAAUGCAUAGUAAAUAAAAUAUGGCUCAGAAAAAUGUGAAACUUGAUUUGUUGGCUUUGCAUGUGUGUUUGCUCACUGGGCAAAAGUGGGUACAUAUUAUUUGGUGUAUAAAUGAAUUUAUGGUAAUUUAAAUGCUUGCAUGGCAGUACUUUAUGAUUUUUAAUAAUUAAAUGGGUCAUGCAAUAAAUCUGGAAAAUUUUGUGGGUGUUUCUUAUGAUAUUAUGCAAAUUGUAAAAAUAUGAAAUCUGUUGUUUAACACUUGUAUCCCAGUAGAGUGAUUUUACUUGCCUUAUUAAUUAAUCUUGUGAUUUUUGUGGCUCAAAAUAAGUAUCCAAAAAUCAUGAAAAAUUUACAGUAGACUUUAUGCUUAGCUAGUAGUCUCCUGUAAUUUUUGUGGAAUUUAUUGAUGAACAGAAUUGCAUUUGAUUUUUAAUGGGCUUAGAAAUGAAUAAAGAAAAUUAUGAAUGGUUGUGUAUGUAGGUUGAAUGAAAUAAGUUGGGUUUGGUGUAUCUUUGAAGCAUCAUGGGGGUUGCUGGUUGCAUUUGAAAAAUAUCUGUAGAAGAGAAUGCAACAGAUGCUUAAUUUAGUUAUUGUUCCCGGAUGAUGUUGACUACCUUGUAAUAAGCACGACCCAGUGCAUCACCUAUGCAUCAUAACAUGACUCCUUCGACACUCUCUCUUACAAGCAUCCACUCGGGCAUCUCACACUCCACUCAUGAGCAUAUAUGCAUCAUACAGGCUCGCAGGAGAACGAAGUGGGACCCGAGGAACCCGAGGAGAUACAUGAGCAGGAACCUCCGGAAGCAUAGGAACCCGGAGAGGAAUUUCAAGAGUGUCCGGAUCACCGACCCAGCACGUUUGAGAAAGGCAAGCCCCGGAGCAUUCUAAGUCUCCCUAUUCUCGCUAACUUAUAUAAAGUGCUAUACUUGUUCUACUGUAUUGCAUAUUAAGUGAUAGGAGUUGCCUGAUACCGUUGCUGCAUGAGUACUCCUUGUUAUUCCUACUCAUUCAACUACCUUGUCCUAUGUAGAUAGGCACGGAGUCUAUGCUUAGCUUGCUUAGUUCGGUAGAAGUCGGGUGAUUCCCUGUCACCUGCGAGAUAUAGGUGGAUACCUGCUUGAUUAAGCAUUGGUUGCUCGGGGAAAAGAAUAACCAAGUGUGGAAUGAAUUUGGAGACCGGGCGGGGUCUUAUGGUGGGUUGACCAUGGUGCCCCUGCCUGUGUCGAUUAAGGACCGAUCGUUGACGGCCCUCUUGUCAUGUUGAACGCAUGCCCCACACUUAGCUGGAAGGAUAAGUCGUUCCGACCGCGAAGCCUGAACACUAUCCGGGCCGGGAAUCGAGCCGCCAUGCGCUGUAUUGGUGAUGGUUGAGGAGAACGACGAGGGCGCGGCGCGCAACCUUGGUAUACCUUGGAUACCUCGGUCGCCGGAACGGUCCUCGGGUACUGGCGGUGCCUGCCGAACCCGCGAAUUGGUCCUGGAUAGUGUAAUACGGUGAUCUGUAGCUCACUUGAUCAGUGAGUGUGGUUUGUGUGGGGAAUACCUCGCCAGCUGGUUAGAAAUCGAUUCGAAUCGCCAUCGCUCCUGGAUAGUGAGCACUUGACAUGAGCUUCGUCCUCGUAGUAAGGACUAUGAAACACUUGGGUUAUAAUGAUGAAUGGUUUAGGAAAUGCUUUAUGAGGUACUAUCAUAGUCUCAUACUUGCUUGUAAUAGCACAGGAGCAAACCUAGAUAAUAGGUAAUGAUACUUUCAACUUGAGCAAAUUAAAAGAAGAAAAGAUUUAGGUAGGUUAGGGUAAUAAAACCUUGCGGUCUUUGCAAAAUGGUUGUCAGCUACCCCACCAAAUAGCCUUCAUGAUCCUUGAUGAGUCUUUAUUUUAAGUUUAUGACGGGUAAGUCUAGCUGAGUACCUUCUCGUACUCAGGGUUCUAUUCCCAUGUUGUUUUGCAGAUGGUCAAAUGUACUAUGGUUAUUGCAUCCUCUGUCUGUACCCAGCUAUGGGUGAUGACUAGACCAAGGGCGAUGGUCACUCCGUCUCUUCCUUUGCUUUUGUGGGAAUGACCAAACUAUGGCACUGUAUCAGACUUAUCGUGUGUGUUGUAAUUUCGAACUAUGAAGCUUCCGCUACUUGAAGAACUUGGUUUGUAAUAACUUAAGUACUCCGAUGUGUUUCAUGAAUGUUGUAAUUUGGAUGUACUUAUGGAUGACGGCCGCUAAACUUAUUACGAUCUUGGUUGUAUGCGAUAUGUGGUUUGAAAUCCUUCGAGAUUUCACGGACUACCGGGAUUAUAUGGGCUUAAGCGUGAUGGUUCGACUAUGCAAAUGGUCACUAUUAGGCUUAAUCUCUUAUAAUUUGGUCGGUUCUGUUACUGCUGGCAUCGGAGCAAGGUUUAGCGAGUUACUGUUCAUAAGUACGUUUUAAACAAAAAUCUAAACCGGUUUAGUAAAAGAUUUAAUUAAUUAAUUAAUAAUGAUCAAGGUGUUAAACUAAGUUUUCAGAAAAUUAUCUAGUGUGCCAUGGUCAUAUCCUUUAUGCCCAGUUAAGGACUCUAAGGUGGCUAGCUAAGUACUGACUUGGGGGUAAUGCAUCAUAUUUUUAUUUCGUCGCUCAUACGGCGUGCAAUAGUAUGAGUGCCAUUCAUUUGAGUGGUAAUGUAUGGAUCAAUUCUUCCUCUACGCCAUGGUAAGUGGGAGUUGUGAGCGCAUGAUCGGAUACACUGCUGGUCUAGGGAAGUGUUGUCAGGUGCUGUGUCAUGCACACAUGUUGGUGUGUCUUGGGAACAGUACCGCAUGCUGGGAAUUCCGUCCUGAGAGACGAUGCCGUCAUUAGGGCGAUGAUGUGGGUAGUGACACGUCACAUGCAUGGACGGGUGUCUGUGUAUGUGAAGUGUAUAGUUUUAAAUUUUGUUCUGCACGAUCAUACUGUGGGUGGGCUGAAAUGAGUUUUCUGCAGGUACCCUAACCACGUUCUCGCUUAGAACGCUAGUUACGUUAUGAGCGAACGUUGUAUGCCACCGCGUAUACCGCUUAGUGUUAACCUUUGUUUUCUAAGUUUGUGAGAUCGUAAGUUCGUACAUGCAUCAUGUGCAUUUCAUAUCAUUGCUUACUUUCCCCCUUAAUUUAAUCUGUCCCAAUUUUAAAUGAAAUAAAUAAAGGUAAUCCUCGCUCUUACCCACGGUAUUCCAUUUGCAGCAGAUGGCACGCACUAGGCUCACCGCUCGCAAGUCCACUGGUGGGCGGGCCCCUCGCCGUCCGUUGGCAGCUAGGAGCUCGCGACAUAAGAGCAAGUUCCUAGAGGAGUUUGGGAUGCCCACUUUGCUUUGGAGGGUGCUCAGUUCGAUGUGGUAUCCCGAAGGAAGGGAGCCUCGCUACUAUUGGGAUAAGGAGCCGCUUGGUGACGAGACCCUGGUGGGGAUCGAGGCAGUUGUCCCUACCAGUGGAGGAGACCCUGCUUGGGGCGGUUGGGUGUACGAGUCCCGAGGUGUCACGCCUUUCCACGGUGCCAGCAGGGCAGCUUUCGCAGUUUUGAGGGACCUCAUGGAGAGGUUUCCACAGGAGCUGGCCCACACCUUCGCUGGGGUGUUUCCCCGGGGUGACCCUUACACUUCGGUGUGGGAUCAGUCCGAGGUGAAUGCUCUAGAGAGGAGUGCGGAUGAGGACCCGCACAGUGACAGUGCAGCUAUGAGUGCCAUGUACGCGUUGAUGAAGACCUAUGGAGGCCUGGAGCGUUGUUUGGGUCGCUUGUCCGGGUCUCUUCUCACCGUCCAGGAUGAGAAGCGUCAGUUGCAGCGUGAGUUUGACUCUGAGGUUGAGAGGCUACAGGCAGAGUUGGCUCGUGUGACCUGAGAGAGAGACCAGGCAGUCCAGAAGAACAGUGAGCUGAGUCAGGACCUGCUUGCAGUGCGAGAGCAGAAGGACAGGGUGACUACUGCUCACAGGAACUGCGAGCGCAUGCUAGUCCAUCUGCUUGGACAGAGGAAUGAAGCCUGGCACGAGGAGGACACUUUGAGGGCCCGACAGCUAGAGCUAGAGCAGCAGCUAGCUAAUGCUGAGGAGUACAAUGAAAACUUGCAUGAGGAGAUCCACCAGCUGCAUAACCAGCUCCACCCUCACCACCUGCCUGGAGCAGCGGAGCUAGACUCUGAGGACGAGAUGGACGUGGAUCCCGAGAUAGGAGCAGCUGCUAGUGGUGAUGAAGAUGAGGAUGGCUCCGGCAUGGACAGUGACCACAGCGAGUAGAUGCUAGGGCUCUAGAGCUAGUCUUUCCUCUUUUGUGAUGUAUGUUGCAUGGCAUGUCAUGUACUUUUGGAUCUGGGCUGUGUAAGACUUUAUGAGUUGAUGCUGAAAGUCCAGUGUAUGUAUGCUGGCAAGUUGGAUGUACGCGAACCUUGUUGCGUGAAUGUUAAGUAAUCUGUUAGUGAUGUUGUGCGUGGAUGACGAGUUGUUGUGCCUUUGUUUAUUGUGUGAAUUUAUUCCCUCAAUAAAUUCAGUAUGGCACGAUUUUACACAUUUUCUACCGGUUGAUGGCAACUCCUAACGAUUGCUUAUCAUUGGCGUAUGCAGAUGGUGCAAACACGUGGCGGGGGUAACAGCAAUCCGGGUCUUGGAGCAGGUACAUCCGGAGAUGGGGCUCAACAGAAUGAGGACAGAGCACCAACACCGCCCCCACCACCGCCUCCCCCGUACAGGGGCCAGGGCUACUUUCAAUGCCUAUAUCAGUGACUGUCUGACCCAAGAGAACAAUAACAAUAACUACAGUGCAUCCAAGUCACGUAAAAGGGCUUUUGAAGCAGGAUCAUCCCAGUCCAGGGCACCAGUGGCAGGGCGACAACAGUAUCGUCCUCCUGCCCCGGGUGCUAAGUUCCGACCACCGCAGAGAAGGAACACCGGGCAUCCAACCCAGCAGAAGCCAUACAAGGUGGCGAUAGCUCCUGCCAAGCCAAAGGCAAUUCAAGCCGCAGCACCUGCCACCAACAAUGCGCCCAAGGGUCCGUGCUAUAACUGCCACAAGAUGGGGCACUUUGCUAAGGAAUGUCCCUACCCCAAAAGGCAGCAGCCAACCUAUCCAGCUCGUGUGCAUCAUACCUCGAUUGAGGAAAUCCCGGAAGGAGAACCGGUAACAGCUGGUAUGUUUUCUGUCAACCAACAUCUUGCAGUUGUUUUGUUUGAUUCUGGAUCAUCGCAUUCAUUCAUGAGCCAAGCAUUUGCACAAAAGCAUAAUCAACCAGUUACAGAUCUGGGCUAUGGCUACCGCAUCAGCUCAGCAGGGGCAGAUGUGUUGACCAAUAGAGUGGUCCGAGGGGCAACCCUGGAUAUAAGUGGCCGAGUUUUUCGGGUAAAUCUAGUGGUCAUGCCUGGGUUAGUUUUGGAUGUUAUCAUGGGCAUGAACUGGAUGAGAGAAUGGGAUGCUGUCAUAGAUACUGGAAAGAGGAUGUUAUCUCUCAGAGAACCACAGGGCAGUAACUCUUUUCAAGUACCUCUGCCCCGUCGUCUUGACUUUGCUAGCAUCUCCUGUGCUACGCACGUGGUCCCUUUACCACAGAUCCCAGUAGUCUGUGAGUUCCCUGAUGUGUUUCCCGAGGAGUUACCAGGACUUCCCCCAGAUAGGGAGGUAGAGUUUGCAAUCGAGUUGAUACCAGAUACAGCACCAAUAUCUAGAAGGCCGUACCGGAUGCCACCAAACGAACUCGCAGAGUUGAAGAAGCAACUGAAGGAGUUACUAGAAAAAGGGUUCAUCCGGCCCAGCUCGUCGGAAUGGGGUUAGCCAGCGUUGUUUGUGAAAAAGAAGGAUCAGUCGUUGCGCAUGUGCGUGGACUAUCGUCCACUCAAUGCAGUGACAAUCAAAAAUAAGUAUCCCUUGCCAAGGAUUGAUAUCCUGUUUGAUCAGUUAUCCAAGGCAAGAGUGUUUUCUAAGAUAGAUUUGAGAUCUGGGUAUCACCAAAUCAAGAUUCGUCCGCAAGAUAUCCCAAAGACUGCUUUUUCCACCAGGUAUGGGUUGUACGAGUAUCUUGUCAUGUCCUUUGGGUUGACAAAUGCUCCUGCAUACUUUAUGUAUCUGAUGAAUUCAGUCUUUAUGCCAGAAUUGGAUAAGUUUGUUGUAGUGUUUAUCGAUGAUAUCCUGGUGUAUUCAGAAAAUGAGCAAGAUCACGCCGAGCAUCUGAGAAUCGUGCUGACACGGUUACGAGAGCAUCAGUUAUAUGCCAAGUUCAGCAAGUGUGAGUUCUGGUUAAAGAAAGUUCCUUUCCUAGGGCACAUUCUGUCUGAAGAAGGAAUUGCUGUGGAUCCAUCAAAAGUGCAGGAAGUCAUGGACUGGAAGGCACCAACUUCGGUCUCGGAAGUUAGAAGUUUUCUUGGUCUGGCCGGGUAUUAUCGUCGUUUUAUACCUGACUUCUCCAAGAUUGCUAAGCCAAUGACAAGUUUGCUACAAAAGGACCAUAAGUUUGUCUGGACGGAAGGGUGUGAGUUAGCCUUCCGCACCUUGCGAAAGUUGCUAACCACUGCUCCCGUUCUGGCACAACCUAAUAUAGAGAAGCCUUUUGAUGUGUUUUGUGACGCAUCGAAGAGUGGCCUGGGGUGUGUGUUGAUGCAAGAUGGUAGGGUGAUAGCUUAUGCUUCCCGACAGUUGAGAAAGCAUGAAGUCAACUAUCCAACGCACGACCUUGAGUUAGCAGCCGUGGUACAUGCUUUGAAGAUCUAGAGACAUUAUCUGCUAGGAAAUAAGUGUCACAUUUACACCGAUCACAAGAGUUUGAAGUACAUCUUUACUCAGUCCGAGCUGAAUAUGAGGCAACGACGGUGGUUAGAGCUAAUCAAGGAUUAUGACCUGGAAGUUCACUAUCAUCCAGGCAAAGCUAAUGUGGUCGCAGAUGCUUUGAGUCGCAAACUACACUAUCAAAUGGUUCAACCGUUGUUUGAAGAUGGGUUCAAUCUUAUGCAUCCUGAGGUCUUAUGUCAUAUACAACUCAGUUGUUCACUCGAGAGUCAAGUCAUUAAAGGUCAGAAAACAGACAAGGGUAUUUUCCACAUCAAAGAGAAGAUCAAAGAUGACCCAAAGACUCAGUUUCGGGUUGAUGAGAAGAGGGUACUGUGGUUUCAACAGCGGUUAGUGGUCCCGAAAGAUCGGGAGUUGAAGAAUCGCAUCAUGGAUGAAGCUCAUCUCUCUAAGCUUUCUAUUCAUCCUGGCAGUAGCAAAAUGUAUCAAGAUCUAAGGCCCCACUUUUGGUGGACCAAGAUGAAGAAAGAAAUAGCCGCUUACGUGGCCCGUUGUGACACGUGUUGCAGAGUUAAGGCCAUCCAUAUGAAACCUGCAGGUCUGUUACAACCGUUAUCAGUUCCGGAGUGGAAAUGGGAAGAGGUCAGUAUGGACUUUGUCACCGGCUUACCGACAACCAGGAAGGGGAAUGACUCAAUUUGGGUAAUCAUAGAUCGAUUAACCAAGUCGGCUCAUUUCAUUCCAGUCAAGAACACAUACAGACCUCCCGAGUAUGCUGAUAUAUAUAUGGCUGAGAUCGUCAAGUUGCAUGGUAUCCCCAAAACCAUCAUAUCGGAUAGAGGACCGCAGUUCACCGCUCACUUCUGGGAGCGCAUGCAUAAGAGUUUGGGGACCAGUCUGAUAAGAAGCACGGCAUACCAUCCCCAGACUUCAGGCCAAACUGAAAGGCUAAAUCAAGUGUUAGAAGAUAUGCUGAGGGCCUGUGUGUUAUCAUCCAAAGGAUCGUGGGAAUCGUGGUUACCUUUGGCUGAGUUCUCCUACAAUAAUAGUUAUCAAGAGAGCAUCAAGAUGGCCCCGUUCGAAGCUUUGUAUGGUCGAAGAUGUAGAACUCCGUUAAACUGGGUGGAACCUGGGGAAAGAAGAUACUAUGGUAUCGACUUUGUGAAUGAUGCCGAGAAAAAGGUGCAGAUUAUACAGCAACAUAUGCAAGCAGCGCAAUCACGGCAGAAGAGUUAUGCUGACAAGAGGAGAAGGCCGCUUGAGUUCAAAGUAGGCGACUAUGUGUAUCUCAAGGUUACGCCAAUGAAGAAAGUUCAACGUUUCCGAGUUCGAAGCAAGCUUGCACCCAAAUAUGUGGGACCAUACCAAGUGCUAGAAAGGAAAGGCCCAGUGGCCUACAAGGUUCAGUUACCUGAGGAGAUGAGCUCGAUCUUUCCGGUCUUCCAUGUGUCGCAACUACGGAAAUGUUUGAAGGUGCCAGAGCAAAGAAUCGAACAUCGAGGAAUCAAGAUAAAAGCGGACUUGGAAUAUAAAGAGCAGCCAGUGGGAAUUGUGGAUACCAAGGAGCGAGUAACCCGAAACAGAGUUGUUCGAACAUACAAGGUGGUUUGGAGUCAUCAUGACGAUAGGGAUGCCACUUGGGAAACAGAGGAUUACUUAAAAACAGUUUAUCCAAAAUUUCACAAGAAAUGGUUAGUAACCCAAAAUCUCGGGACGAGAUUUCCCUAAGGGGGGAAGGGCUAUAACACCCUAGGUGUUAAGCAUGCACUUAGCCUUGGCAAAGCAAUGCAUAAGCAUCCUCAUCAAUCAUAAGCAUCAUGAGCAUGUCAUUCUUUUCAAGUAUGAUUUUAUGUGCAUCAUUUCAUGUGUUUUAAAUAUGUUAAAAAUAUGAUGCUUGCUUCUAAAAUUGUGAAAUAUUCAAAUUAGGUUGCUUUAUGUGUAAGAAGAAUUUAGAAUAUUUUUGUGCAAUUUUUGGAGCUAUGGAAUUUGAGAAAUAGAAUUUAUACAAAUUUUCCCAAAAUGAAUUUAUUUAAAACCUAGAACUGAGUUUUAACUUGUAAUUCAAAUUUUGUUUGGAAUUUGGUCUUGCUUGUCAAAGCAAAGUUGUAGAGUUUUUAAUUUGGAAUAACUUUGUUUUUGGGAGCAAGAGGUAAAAAUGAUUUAAAAUUGGUCCAAAUGAAUUUAGAAAGAAUUUGAGAAAAGAAAUUCAAAAAAAAAGGGAAAGGGGGCAGGCGCUGCUGGGCCGACCCGCCUCCCUUCUGGCCCAGCUGGACAGCGCGGCCCGCGACCCACUGUCAGUCGCAGGGGUACCCCGGUGGGUGUAGAUCUGGGUGUGCGUAGCCUUUUUCGUCGGUUUUCUUGAAAAAGUGUUUUCCAGAAAUUGAUUUAAAGUUUGUAAAAUCUAUAUCUUGAGUUCUACAGCUCCAAAUUGACUGAAAUAAAUUUUGGUGUGCUCUAUAUUUCCAGAUCUACAGUUUGAUGUAAUUGCAUGUCAUGUUGGAGUAACUUUUCUGUGUGAAUAUAUUUUAUCCAUGAUUUUGUUAAACUUGGAAAAUGCAUAGUAAAUAAAAUAUGGCUCAGAAAAAUGUGAAACUUGAUUUGUUGGCUUUGCAUGUGUGUUUGCUCACUGGGAAAAAGUGGGUACAUAUUAUUUGGUGUAUAAAUGAAUUUAUGGUAAUUUAAAUGCUUGCAUGGCAGUACUUUAUGAUUUUUAAUAAUUAAAUGGGUCAUGCAAUAAAUCUGGAAAAUUUUGUGGGUGUUUCUUAUGAUAUUAUGCAAAUUGUAAAAAUAUGAAAUCUGUUGUUUAACACUUGUAUCCCAGUAGAGUGAUUUUACUUGCCUUAUUAAUUAAUCUUGUGAUUUUUGUGGCUCAAAAUAAGUAUCCAAAAAUCAUGAAAAAUUUACAGUAGACUUUAUGCUUAGCUAGUAGUCUCCUGUAAUUUUUGUGGAAUUUAUUGAUGAACAGAAUUGCAUUUGAUUUUUAAUGGGCUUAGAAAUGAAUAAAGAAAAUUAUGAAUGGUUGUGUAUGUAGGUUGAAUGAAAUAAGUUGGGUUUGGUGUAUCUUUGAAGCAUCAUGGGGGUUGCUGGUUGCAUUUAAAAAAUAUCUGUAGAAGAGAAUGCAACAGAUGCUCAAUUUAGUUAUUGUUCCCGGAUGAUGUUGACUACCUUGUAAUAAGCAUGACCCAGUGCAUCACCUAUGCAUCAUAACAUGACUCCUUUGACACUCUCUCUUACAAGCAUCCACUCGGGCAUCUCACACUCCACUCAUGAGCAUAUAUGCAUCAUACAGGCUCGCAGGAGAACGAAGUGGGACCCGAGGAACCCGAGGAGAUACAGGAGCAGGAACCUCCGGAAGCAUAGGAACCCGGAGAGGAAUUUCAAGAGUGUCCGGAUCACCGACCCAGCACGUUUGAGAAAGGCAAGCCCCGGAGCAUUCUAAGUCUCCCUAUUCUCGCUAACUUAUAUAAAGUGCUAUACUUGUUCUACUGUAUUGCAUAUUAAGUGAUAGGAGUUGCCUGAUACCGUUGCUGCAUGAGUACUCCUUGUUAUUCCUACUCAUUCAACUACCUUGUCCUAUGUAGAUAGGCACGGAGUCUAUGCUUAGCUUGCUUAGUUCGGUAGAAGUCGGGUGAUUCCCUGUCACCUGCGAGAUAUAGGUGGAUACCUGCUUGAUUAAGCAUUGGUUGCUCGGGGAAAAGAAUAACCAAGUGUGGAAUGAAUUUGGAGACCGGGCGGGGUCUUAUGGUGGGUUGACCAUGGUGCCCCUGCCUGUGUCGAUUAAGGACCGAUCGUUGACGGCCCUCUUGUCAUGUUGAACGCAUGCCCCACACUUAGCUGGAAGGAUAAGUCGUUCCGACCGCGAAGCCUGAACACUAUCCGGGCCGGGAAUCGAGCCGCCAUGCGCUGUAUUGGUGAUGGUUGAGGAGAACGACGAGGGCGCGGCGCGCAACCUUGGUAUACCCUGGAUACCUCGGUCGCCGGAACGGUCCUCGGGUACUAGCGGUGCCUGCCGAACCCGCGAAUUGGUCCUGGAUAGUGUAAUACGGUGAUCUGUAGCUCACUUGAUCAGUGAGUGUGGUUUGUGUGGGGAAUACCUCGCCAGCUGGUUAGAAAUCGAUUCGAAUCGCCAUCGCUCCUGGAUAGUGAGCACUUGACAUGAGCUUCGUCCUCGUAGUAAGGACUAUGAAACACUUGGGUUAUAAUGAUGAAUGGUUUAGGAAAUGCUUUAUGAGGUACUAUCAUAGUCUCAUACUUGCUUGUAAUAGCACAGGAGCAAACCUAGAUAAUAGGUAAUGAUACUUUCAACUUGAGCAAAUUAAAAGAAGAAAAGAUUUAGGUAGGUUAGGGUAAUAAAACCUUGCGGUCUUUGCAAAAUGGUUGUCAGCUACCCCACCAAAUAGCCUUCAUGAUCCUUGAUGAGUCUUUAUUUUAAGUUUAUGACGGGUAAGUCUAAUAGUGACCAUUUACGUAGUCGAGCCAUCACACUUAAGCCCAUAUAAUCCCGGUAGUCCGUGAAAUCUCGAAGGAUUUCAAACCACACAUCGCAUACAGCCAAGAUCGUAAUAAGUUUAGCGGCCGCCAUCCACAAGUACAUCCAGAUUACAACAUUCAUGAAACACAUCGGAGUACUUAAGUUAUUACAAACCAAGUUCUUCAAGUAGCGGAAGCUUCAUAGUUCGAAAUUACAACACACACGAUUAAGUCUGAUACAGUGCCAUAGUUCGGUCAUUCCCACAAAAGCAAAGGAAGAGACGGAGUGACCAUCGCCCUUGGUCUAGUCAUCACCCAUAGCUGGGUACAGACAGAGGAUGCAAUAACCAUAGUACAUUUGACCAUCUGCAAAACAACAUGGGAAUAGGACCCUGAGUACGAGAAGGUACUCAGCUAGACUUACCCGUCAUAAACUUAAAAUAAAGACUCAUCAAGGAUCAUGAAGGCUAUUUAGUGGGGUAGCUGACAACCAUUUUGCAAAGACCGCAAGGUUUUAUUACCCUAACCUACAUAAAUCUUUUCUUCUUUUAAUCUGCUCAAGUUGAAAGUAUCAUUACCUAUUAUCUAGGUUUGCUCCUGUGCUAUUACAAGCAAGUAUGAGACUAUGAUAGUACCUCAUCAUAGCAUUUCUUAAACCAUUCAUCAUUAUAACCCAAGUGUUCCAUAGUCCUUACUACGAGGAUGAAGCUCAUGUCAAGUGCUCACUAUCCAGGAGCGAUGGCGAUUCGAAUCGAUUUCUAACCAGCUGGCGAAUUUAUUCCCCACACAAACCACACUCACUGAUCAAGUGAGCUACAGGUCACCAUGUUGCACUAUCCAGGACCAAUUCGCGGGUUCGACAGGCACCGCCCGUACCCGAGGACCGUUCCGGCGACCGAGGUAUCCAAGGUAUACCAAGGUUGCGCGCCGCGCCCUCGUCGUUCUCCUCAACCAUCACCAAUACAGCGCGUACAUCGGGCCGAUUCCCGGCCCGGAUAGUGCUCAGGCUUCGCGGUCGGAACGACUUAUCCUUCCAGCUAAGUGUGGGGCAUGCGUUCAACAUGACAAGAGGGCCGUAAACGAUCGGUCCUUAAUCGACACAGGCAGGGGCACUAUGGUCAACCCACCAUAAGACCCUGCCCGGUCUCCAAAUUCAUUCCACAAUUGGUCAUCCUUUUCCCAAGCAACCAAUGCUUAAUCAAGCAGGUAUCCACCUAUAUCUCGCAGGUGACAGGAAAUCACCCGACUUCUACCGGACUAAGCAAGCUAAGCAUAGACUCCGCGCCUAUCUACAUAGGACAAGGUAGAUAAACGAGUAGGAAUAACAAGGAGUACAUAUGCAGCAACGGUAUCAGGCAACUCCUACCACUUAAAUGCAGUAGUAGAACAAGUAUAGUGCAUCACAUAAGUUAGCGAGAAUAGGGAGACUUAGAAUGCUCCGGGGCUUGCCUUUCUCAAACGUGCUGGGUCGGUGAUCCGGACACUCCUGCAGUUCCUCUCCGGGUUCCGGUGCUUCCGGAGGUUCCUGCUCCUGAGUCUCCUCUGGCUCCUCGGGUCCCACCUCGUUCUCCUGCGAGCCUGUAUGAUGCAUGUGUGCUCAUGAGUGGAGUGUGAGAUGCCCGAAUGGAUGCUUGUAUGAGAAGGUACCAAAGGACCAUGUCAUGAUGCAUGGAUGAUACACUUGGUCAUGCUCAUCACAAGGUAUGCAACAUCAUCCAAGAACAGGCACUUGGAUUAAACAUCUAUUGCAUUCUCUUUUACAAUUAUUUUUCAAAUGCAAUCAGUAACCCACAGGAUGCUUCAAAGAUACACCAAACCCAACUUAUUCCAUUCAACCUAGAUAUGCAACCAUUCAUAAUUUUCUUUAUUCAUUUCUAGGCUCAUUAAAAUCACAUGCAAUUCUGUUCAUCAAUAAAUUCCAGAAAAAUUACAUGAGACUACUAGCUAAUCAUAAAGUCUACUGUAAAUUUUUCAUAAUUUUUUGGUUACUUAUUUUGAGCCACAAAAAUCACAAGAUUAAUUGAUAAGGUAAGUAAAAUCACUCUACUGUGAUAUAAGUGUCAAACAACAGAUUUCAUAUUUUUACAAUUUGUCUAACAUCAUAAGAAACACCCACAAAAUUUUCCAGAUUUAUUGCAUGACCCAUUUAAUUAUUAAAAAUCAUAAAGCACUGCCAUGCAAGCAUUUAAAUUACCAUAAAUUCAUUUAUUCAUCAAAUAAUAUGUACCCACAUUUUCCCAGUGAGCAAACACACAUGCAAAGCCAACAAAUCAAGUUUCACAUUUUUGUGAGCCAUAUUUUAUUUACUAUGCAUUUUCCAAGUUUAACAAAAUCAUGGAUAAAAUAUAUUCACACAGAAAAGUUACUCCAACAUGACAUGCAAUUACAUCAAACUGUAGAUCUGGAAAUGUAGAGGACACCAAAAUUUAUUUCAUUCAAUUUGGAGCUGUAGAACUCAAGAUAUAGAUUUUACAAACUUUAAAUCAAUUUCUAGAAAACACUUUUUCAAGAAAACCGACGAAAAAGGCUACGCACACCCAGAUCUACACCCACCGGGGUACCCCUGCGACUGACAGUGGGUCCCCGACCCCACCAGUCAGCGAGACCGAGAGGAAGCUCACCUCCGACGAGCGGAUUUCGCCGGCGGUGAGGUCUCCGGCCACGGGGUGAGCACCAACGUGCUCCCCGCAGCAAGACGCACCCAGCGGUACCCUUGGAUCGACCAGAGGACGGCCGGAACACCUCCGGCGAGCAUGCAUGGCGGCACGGCGGCGCUGCUCGCCGUGGCCAGGCUGCUCCGGCGCGGUAGAGCGUGCGCAAACUCCUCUCCGAGCUUCCUCACCUUCCUACCGACCUAGCGCAAUAGAGAACGAGCGAAAAGAGGCAAGGAAACGCUAGAUCCGUCGCGGCGGAGUACUCCGGCGAGCUCGGGGUAACUCUGGCGAGCGAUUCGCGGCGCUCGACGGACUCUCACCUCGGUAGAACGUUCGCACGAGCUUACCCUAGCGACGGCGAGUGCCCUGGUGCUCUCGGCGUCGAGCUUGAGGCUCUGGUGCGGCCGGCGACGAGCGGCGGAGCUCUCUCCGGCAAUGGCGCGCGGAGGAGCGGCUGCUGCUGCGCGGUGCGAGCGGAGGAGGAAGGAGAAGGAGGGCGCGGGGGAGACAGGAUGGAGGGAGUGGCCUAGGAGCCUGCGCCGGCGUCCCGACCAGGGGGUUGGAGGCCGGCCGCGGCGCGUCCAACGCCGGCGUACGGCCGCCACGUGGCCGGCGCCGGGUGGGGCAAGGCGGGCGCCGCGCGCGCGGGAGAGAGGGGAGGGGGAGCGGGCCGCGCUGCCCAGCUGGGCCAGAAGGGAGGCGGGUCGGCCCAGUAGCGCCUGCCCCCUUUCUCCUUUUUUUUUUUGAAAUUCUUUUCUCAAAUUCUUUCUAAAUUCAUUUGAGCCAAUUUAAAAUCAUUUUCACCUCUUGCUCCCAAAAACAAAGUUGUUUCAAAACAAAAACUCUACAACUUUGCUUUAACAAGCAAGACCAAAUUCCAAACAGAAUUUGAAUUACAAGUUAAAACUCAGUUCUAGGUUUUAAAUAAAUUCUUUUUGGAUAUUUUUGUAUAAAUUCCAUUUCUCAAUUUCCAUAGCUCCAAAAAUUGCACAAAAAUAUUCUAAAUUCUUCUUACACAUAAAGCAACCUAAUUUGAAUAUUUCACAAUUUUAGAAGCAAGCAUCAUAUUUUUAGCAUAUUUAAACUCAUGAAGUGAAGCACAUCAAAUCAUAAUUUGAGAAGAGUGUCAUGCUCAUGAUGCUUAUGCUUGAUGGGAAUGCUUAUGCAUGACUUUGAUGAGACUAAGUGCAUGCUUAACACCUAGGGUGUUACAACGUGUCCUUCAGGAAUCUCGCGUGUCAGAUUCUAACGGCUACCUGCAACACACCGGACGCUCUGCAAGUCCACACCGGACGGUCCGGUGCUCACCGGACUCGUGCGCAGAGAGGGUGUCAAACUCGCGACCUCACCGGACGCUGGGCACCGGACGGUCCGGUGCUCACCGGACUCGUGCGCAGAGAGGGUUGCAAAAACCCUCACACCGAACGCUAACCACCGUACGCUCUCAGAGUGCGUCCGGUGCUCCACCCUAGCAGGGUCAAGCAUACCGGACUCUGAGGCCAGCGUCCGGUGCCUCCGCACUCAGCGUCCGGUGAGUGUUUCUCAGUGAGAAAACACUCCCGCGACUUCACCAAAUUUCCUACCGGCGCAAUAGAAAAUAUACACUUAUUUUUCUCAAAUGCGCCGAAUCCCGCCGAGCUUGCGAACCCAAACCCCUCUCAACCCUAGGAACUCCACCUCCUUUGUAAAUGUGCUAACACCAACAAGUGUCCACCGCCAAAGUGCAUGUGUGUUAGCUUUUCACAAACAUUUUCACCAAAGGAGUUAAGUUAGCACUUUACUAGAUCCUAAUGCAUAUGCUCAAGAUAUGGACCUAGUAGCACUUGAUUCGAGAGAUGACCGUGAUUUUCCCUCUUGAUAGUCGGCUAUCUAUCCUAAACCCGGUCAAUCACUUCUCUACUCAUCUUAGACCGGUAAAAGUAAAACCCUAUGUUUAUACCUUUGCCUUGAUAACUUUUGCUCCUCGUCUAUCAUCAUGAUCUCCACAUCAAGCUUCAUCUCUUUAUAGUCAUGUGGCCACCUUUCCAUGCCGCCAUGCACCUUCAUCACAUGUGUUGCUAUGCCUAACUCACAUCACUUAGACAUAAGGCAUUAGCAACUUGGUGUCAUUAAUUACCAAAACCAAACUUGGGCUUUCAACCCUAUGUAGCCUUGGAAUAGCAGGACAUCGGGGUUGAGUAAAAGUCACUCCACUUUGCUGCAACGAGAGAGUUUGGAGCCUUGGUGGCACAUUCUUGUAUCGACAUCUGUCUCAGUGCAUUUUGUGGAAAGGCCCUCGAACUUUCUAGGAAUUAACCCACAGUCCAAAGUCGAACCAACAGCCUCGCUCGUCGCUCCCACACGCGCACAGGCAAUUUGGGUGGCGUUGAAAACCCUAGCCGCUGCCAUCUCCCCUCUUCGUCUAGCCACCGACAUCGCUUCACUCCGCUCCUCUCCACCUUGCUGUGUCGGACGAACGCACCCAAAUCUAUGGGGAGGUGGCAUUCAGCCAUGGCUACGUCGUGGUAGAUUGCAGCCUUGGUGGAGCCCUGCUCAAUGCUGUCGCUGGAAAAUGGGGAGCCACAUGAGGUCGCCGUCGUUCCUAGAGCGCUUCAUGUGUCCGCUCGGGCUCCUAUCGAGCGGAUCUGGCUGGAUCCACAUCUGGCAGGCCUCCACCGGCUUUGUCCACCACGGGACCUCCUGCGGCGCAUGUGCUCUCCUAAAGCUAUGGUAAAGAGAACUAUAAGCUCACCACACUAGAUUGUUCACGCAUGUCUGAUUAAGGGAACACAAUGCCUACUAAUUCAGUCGUACAUCGAAUUGGUUAAUCUAUAAUUUGAUUUUGAGAAUUUGUGUUUGUUUUCCGGGGAUUGCAGUUUGAUCUGGUCAAAUUUGGUGAUGGGAAAGCUAAUUCAUAAGGGGACUAGAUUCCAGUUUGGCUAAUCUGGUCUAUGACGAACUGCACUAGCAGAACGAGCGAACAAUGGAGUUGUGAAUAAAAACGUGAUGUUUUGUUCUGUUUCGUCAUUUUGUGGUAUGUUUUUAGGUUGAGAACCAAUUCAUUGUCUCUAUGUAUAUUCUGUUAGAAUGAAAUUGUUAUUAGUGUUUUUGGUGAAGUUUUAGCCUAUGAUCCCCUUGCAUGUAGUGUUCUACCAUGUUAUGGAUUACAGUUCAACACUACCUUAACUUACUUUUCUUGUAAGAGCAAUAGAAAAUUCAUCUAUGAUUCUGCGUAAGUCUGAAUAAGCUAUGAUAUUGCAAAAAAAACAUUGCCCUUUGUUUUGGAAAUUAUGUAUGUGCUCUACUUAUGAUUUGAAUCAAUUGUUGUCUCUUCUUGAUUUUAAUUUUAGGAUGGUAGAGGAAAAAGUGUAGUACAUUUGCACUCGAGUUUCACUAUAGUAACAUGAUUAGAAGAGUUUCUAUUGUCAUGCAAGUUUUUUUCAGAGUUACUGCUUACCUCAUUAGUGUUGUUUUCGAAUGUUCUAAUGUAUUCUUGAGGAAUGCCAUACCUAAUUAGAUCAAAAUAAAUUAGUUCCAGUCUAUCCUUAUAUGUCUUUAUUACUCUUUUCUUUGAUUCUAUGCACUGCACUCAGAGCUUGCAAGUUCAUAAAUUGAUAUACUAUGAAGUCCUGGAAACAUCUGACUCAGUUACAUUCAGAAAUGAUAGCCCAAUCUUCUUUUCGAAAAGCUUUAUUUUGGAAUACAAAUGCUUAAUACUGAUGUGUGCCAAAUAUACAAGGAGGGGAUGGCCAUGCAGAAUGUGCAUCACUAAUAGUUCCAAACAUGUAAUUAAUCUGAUUUGGUUGAUGAUAUGACUUCCUUUUUGUUAGUUUUUUUGCCUUCCAUCGGCAAUUAUAUGCCACCUUCAACCAAAGUGUUGCCUAAUGUAAAGGUCUUCAAGAUGUCUGAUGGUGUUUGUGCUUUAAUUUAUAUUCAGUUAUUAAGAUAGUCCAAGAUAUCUGAUGAAGUUAACGACUAGUUCUUUCAUUUCUGUGAAAUGAGUCCAUCAACUGAGGUGAAACUGCUUGCUCCAAAACACAAAUUAAUGUUUCUAUCUGACUUAAGUUUUUUUAGGAUUGUUGCACAUUGACAGUCUUAGGAUUGUUGCAUAUUGACAGUCAGCAAUAGUGUCGAAGGAGCACAAGAGGUAUGUUCAGGAGCUUGAGCAUAUGUUGCUUGGGGAAUGAGGACCCUAGGUGGAGGUGUCCAUGGCUAGGUCGCUGGAUACCAUGAUGUGUGAAUUUCCAUCGAAUUCAGUCAAAACACUUCUGAGUUAUGCGACUGUUGGGUAUUCUUAACGUCAUUGCCAAAAGUAGACUUAGUUUUCUAAUUCUGAUAACGGCGCCAAAAAUGCCAAACCUAUCCUUCAUACCACUUAAGCCAAGUUUUCAUCCCCAGCAUGUCAUGAGAGACGCGGUAUUGAAAUAUGCAAUUGCUCAUCUAAAUAAAUAAUGAAUGGGAUCUGCAAGCGCACAGAUUAAUACCGAUGUAGCAUUUUAACCGGGAAGUAUUCCAGGUAUCGUUAUUUAUACUUUUACCACUGGGAAGGGAUUAGUAACCAUCAAUGUUGAUUAUAGAAUGGAAUAUAAGAUUGAGUAUCUAUCAUUGCAUGUAUAAUUGAGAACAUUUAUCUACCUCUUUCAUACAGGGAUAAGUGUCACAUAAAGGAUAUAUAAAGUAAUGAAUAGUGAUAAAGAUAAUUAAUCUGAUCAGCAUAACUUAGCCACAUAUGAAUAUGAUAAGCACCUCAAUUAGAUAUUCCAACAAGUCAUUAGCAUGGAAUUAGGAUGAACUACAAGAAUAUUUUCUAAGUUAUUCUCAACUAUAUAGUCUAGUAUAUCAUAGUUAGUGCAAUUAUACUUAUCAAUCAUUGCGAGAAAGGACUACGCCCAUGCAUAGUGAUGUUAGCAAGGAAUAUGAGAAACAUCGUAGUCACUCCCCUGUAAUAAUGUUGCUCUGCCAGCCCAAUACACGAGAGGGGGACUAUAUAAGAAUCAAUGGAGCUGUCACUACCACGAACUACCCCACGAUCUGGCAUAUUGGGUACAAUCGCAGAUAAAUAUGGUAUAAGCACCAUGCCUACACAAUAUCUAUCAAUUACCCAUGGAUCCGAUGGAUAAACGCUAUACGAUCCUAAACAUGUAUAUAAUUCCAAUCUAACUAAGCCAAGUAUAUAACUAGGAUAAACUAAGAACAAUAUAAUUACGAAUAUAAACAAGUAGAGCAAAGUCAUAAGCAAUAUAUUGAAGUAGAACAAAGUCAUAUUCAUAAUAUUGAAGAACAAAGAUGAACAAUUGAAGAACAAUAGAGAAUUACCAAGAAUCCUCUUGACAGAUCUGGAAACCAAUCGAAGAUUGACUCCUUCUAGUUCUAAUCCUAUGUAGCUUUGCUAAUCUAGAUGUCUAAAUGAUGUGGUGGCUCUAGGCUUGAUCAGAGGCUUCUUCUCCCUUGAUGAAUAAUGAAUUAGGGUUGAGAGGCUCCCUCCUCUAGGGGCCAGGGGGGUCUGGUUUUAUAGUCCUUCCAAGUGAAUAUGGGCCGUCGGAUCAAACCGACAUUGAUUGAAUGGUUAUCCUUGAUCCUUUAGGUCAGUGGAGCUUGAUCCUGAAAGAGAGUCCUGAUUGGACUCCAGAGGUGGGCGGGCGCCCUAGGCCAGGCCCCGUUCUGCCUCCGCUUCGUACUCGUGGCUUCUGGAGUCUUCUAGAUGUAAGAUAAUUGCGUGGCACGUUAAUAUCUCUAUGUAAUCCCGACGUGUGGGCCUUUCUUUCGUAUUUCCUAAUAACCCCCUGCAGAAAUAGACAAACACCAAAACUCAUGGAAUUCUGUCAAAUAAAACCCUAAGUCUAGAUGUUGAUUUCAUUUAGAUCCUUUUCUUUGUUUAUUUGAUAAUUAAAUUUGAUACUUAAGGACCGUCAACAAACUCCCCCAAGCUUACCUCUUGCUCGUCUGUCACACCCAUAUUUUAAGAACAAAAUAGGAUGCAUAAAAGACUCAUAUGUGCCCCAGAAACAGUCGCACACAUAAGUAGACAAAUCUCAAAUGUACCAUCGCAGUGUUUAUUACAUAGCGGAAUAUAAAAUAUCACAUAGUCUCAUACAAAAAUGAUAGCAUAAAGUAAACAACGCUCUCGACGGAAGCUCCACACAGGGACACUGUUGACUGGUUGACUCCAAACCUAGUACUCAUACCGAUAAUCCUCAUUCCAGUCAUCUUCAUUAUCAUACCCUGAGGUGUUGGGAGAUUGCAAGAGUGAGCACAUAUCGUACUCAACAAGUAUAACCAGGGGUUCAUGAGGCUCAAAUAGCUGACACUGGUUUGACUGCAAUUAGCUUUUAAUAGUGGAUAGCAUGUUCAUAAUUAAUGAGCAAUUGUCAAGGAAGCAUAAAUAAUCCAUUAAUCCCAUGAUCAAAUGUAAGCAUAGUUAAUCUCAUAGCAUAAAUGAUAAUCAAAUGAACAUAAUAACAUAACAAGCUCAUCAUCUUAAUGUAGAUGUCCCCAAGGCCGCUCCUGACCGUGAGCUCGGCUAGUAUACCAGUUUUACACUCUGCAGAGGUUGUACAUCUUUACCCAUGAGUCAUGAUUUACCCUUUCGCCCGAGGUAGCUAAUCUCUUAACCCCCUUCCCAGGGAGGUCGGCAGGGAUCACUAUGAAGCCUUUCAAAAGUUCGUCUAACAAGUUAGGGCCGCAAGGUUUCCUUUGCGCGCAGAUAUAGAGCCCCCCUUCCGAUGGCACAAUGACUCGCAGCCUAUACUCAUACAGACAGAGGCCACACUAUACCCAAAACGGUUCAGCCCCUCCGCCCUCUCGGGUAACCGCUAACAAGCUAGAAAAGGGCUUCAUACUGAGCUAAAGCCAGAGCCAUAAUAGCCCUCAUGGUUGCACUGUUAUCCCGGGUGAUCACGUACAGACAAGAUCUCAUACAGUUAUUUGUCAUUCUUUUAUGUUCAUUGCAUAGCUAUUAAUCAUCUUACAAGAUCAUGGAUUAUAUCAAGCACUAGCACAUCUACACCAAAUGCAUAUCAAGUAGGUAGCAAGGAAUACAGGUAACAAUCAUCUAUGAUUUUGCUAAGGUCGACAAGGUGAUAGCAUGCAUAUGAUAUAUAUAUAUGUAUCUAUAAGUGAAUAGGUAACAAGGAUGAUCCCAAGUUAUACUUGCCUUGCUCAAAGCUCUCCUGAGCCUGCUGGUCCUCAAAAGCUUGGUCUUGGUCACCAACGUACGGCUCACCGUCUAAUCCCAAUCAUCAAACAACAACACGCAAAUCCAAUGUAGACAAUCAUACACGAAGCAAACAAGAUAUAAUUAGAACAAUACACCAAACAGUGGUAAAACAAAUAUAAAAGUUUAUCAAAAUAUUCUACGCAGCGCUACGAUCACACAAACGUAAAGUUCACGAAAAUCGGAAUUAAAACGUGAAAGAUAUGAAUUUUCUAAGAUUUCCUAUAGCGAAAUAAUCAAUUAAAUAGUACUGCAGAAUUAAAAAGUUUCCAAACAGUAAACUAAUAUUUCUAACGUGUAGAGAUCGUAAAUACGAAACCAAUGGAAUUUGAAUGGACAAAAACGGAGUUAAAAUGAUCAUUUUAUAAGCAUUAUAAAUUCAGUGGCAAAACUGUAAAUAUUAGAAACAUAAUCUGAGCUGAACCGAUCCUGAAUACGCUUUCAAACUCAGAAAGCGUAAUCCAUCAAAGGCGCUAAGGGCUGCGGGUGGAUUCCUGGAAAGUCCCAGGGACUCUUUAGCAAAAUAUACGCCGAACCGGUAUCUUCUAAUCCUGGCCUUGGAUUCUCCAUCGGACGGCUGACGAUCGCCAGGGGGAAAACAGCGGCGGCCGGCCGCCUGAGCACAGGAACGGCGCGGCGGCGCCAUGGACAGGCUCAUCGGAGCUCUCGGUUUUCCCGCUCCCGAGCACCAAAAUGCGAAAGAACAACUCCGGGAGGUCGAGGGGGAGGAGGCGAACCCACCUAGGCGGUUUGCUCGAGCCGAGAGAGGGCGAGGAGGGUGUGCCACGGCGGCGGAUGAAACUUCGCUCGGCGAGAUCCGAAACGCAAUACUCGAGGCGGCUAGGGCUUGGAAAAACGCUCGGGUGGAAAAAAACAAGGCACGGGGCGUCACGGGGAACUAUAUAGGGGUUUGAUUCGCGCCAAACGGCAAGAAAUCACGGCCCCAAGAUCCGGUUUGGCGUGGAGUUUGUGUCCAGCUCGAGCACGGCUGGGGGAGGGAGACGGCGCUGACGCGCGGGUCCCGCGUCGCAGUGAGAAGGGCGGGGAGGGAAGCUGGGCCGCUCGCUGGGCCGACGCAAGGGGACAGGGCGCGCGCGGCCUGGCCUGCUGCUGGGCUGUGAGCGCUGGGGAAAGUGGGCCGAGCGCGAUGCGGGAGAACAGGCCGGGGGGAAACCGCUGGGCUUCGGCCACUGGCCCAGGCCGAGGUCAGUGGUGUGCAUUUUUUUUUUCUUUUUUUUUUCCAAAGUCUUUUCUAAAUAGAGUUUUGAAUGUAAUUAAAUUUUAGCCAAGGUAAAUCAACACAAAGUAAAAUAUGAUCCAGCAUGAAUGCACAGUCAAGGUUACUAAACCUAUGAUAAAUUUUAUGUCAACAAGAUUAUUCAUUCACUAAAUUAAAUACCCACAAAAAUACUUAAUUAAAUCAAAUUAAAUCCUAUUAAUUCAAAAUCAAAUUUUGGGUGUUACAAACUCUACCCCCCUUAAAAUAAUCUCGUCCUCGAGAUUGAACGGUGCUUACUCGAACAGAUAUGAGUAUGACUUCCUCAGAUCAUCCUCUCUUUCCCAAGUUGCCUCUGCUUCCGAAUGCCGAUUCCACAGUACUUUGCACAUUCUGAUGACCCGACUUCUAGUGACUCUCUCCGCUGUCUCCAAUAUUUUGAUCGGAUACUCUUCAUAAGUGAGGUCACCUUUAACAGAGAGUUCUUCCAACGGUAGUUGCUCCUCAGGUACACGCAAACACUUCUUAAGUUGUGACACAUGGAACACAUCGUGCACACCAGACAAACUUUCAGGCAAUUCCAACCGAUAUGCUACUUCUCCACGCCUUUCUAAUACUUUAAACGGACCAACAUACCUUGGAGCUAGCUUUCCCUUCAUAUUGAACCUCUUCACACUUCGCAUAGGCGACACUUUCAGAUAGACAUAAUCACCCACUUCAAAAGCCAGCUCUCUCCUACGCGUAUCUGCAUAGCUUUUCUGACGAGAUUGAGCAAUUCUCAAGUUAUCCCGAAUAGUCCGCACUUGUUGUUCUGCAUGUCUAAGCACAUCUGUCCCAAACACCUGAGUCUCUCCCGUCUGAUUCCAAAACAAAGGUGUCCUGCACUUCCGACCAUAUAGGGCCUCGAACGGUGCCAUCUUAAGACUUUGCUGAUAGCUGUUGUUGUAGGAGAAUUCUGCAUAUGGCAAACUCUUGUCCCAACUAGCCCCAUACUACAAAGCACAAGCUCUCAACAUAUCCUCCAAUAUCUGGUUGAUCCUCUCAGUCUGUCCAUCUGUCUGUGGAUGAUAUGCUGUGCUGAAAUUCAACUUAGUUCCCAAUGAAUCAUGCACUGCUUUCCAAAAGUGAGAUGUGAAUUGAGUACCCCUAUCUGACACAAUCUUCUUAGGUACCCCAUGCAAACAAACAAUUCUCUCCAUAUACAGCUCAGCUAGGCGUUCUCCAGUGUACUUAGUUUUAACAGGUAUGAAAUGAGCCACUUUAGUCAAACGAUCUACUAUCACCCAUAUUGAGUCAUACCCUCUCUGUGUUCGUGGUAAACCCACUAUGAAAUCCAUACCCACUUCUUCCCACUUCCAUUCCGGAAUCUUCAUUGGUUGCAACAGUCCAGCUGGCCUCUGAUGUUCAGCUUUUACUCGCUGACAAGUAUCACACAAAGCAACAUACUCCGCUACAUCUCUCUUUAAACCAUACCACCAGUAUUUUUGUCUCAGAUCUAGAUACAUCUUAGUGCUCCCAGGGUGAAUGGAAUAUGCUGACUCAUGAGCCUCUCUCAGGAUCAUAUCUCGUAUGGCCUUUACUUCCGGAACACAUAUCCUUUUUCCAAACCACAAUACACCAUUGUCAUCUAUUCUGAAUCCUGGUGCUUUGCCUAGUACCACAUUCUGUGCUAUCUCCUUUAGUUUCUCAUCUUCCAACUGUCCUUUCAAUAUCUCUUCCUCUAGGGUAGGAGUGAUCUCAAUUUCCAUAGCAUUUACUACAAUUCCCAAGUUCAAAUAUGCAAAUUCAGCACACAACUCCUCAGACUCAGGUGUCGCCCGAAGCUCAUUAGCAUAUUUCUUUCUGCUAAGUGCAUCAGCUACGACGUUCGCCUUUCCAGGAUGGUAAUGCACUUCCAAGUCAUAAUCCUUUAUUAGUUCCAACCAUCUUCGUUGCCUCAAAUUCAGAUCUGUCUGGGUGAAGAUGUACUUCAGACUCUUAUGAUCAGUGUAUAUGUCACUCUUAUGCCCAAUCAAAUAGUGUCUCCAAAUCUUCAAUGCAUGAACCACAGCUGCUAACUCCAAAUCAUGAGUAGGAUAAUUCAGUUCAUGUUUCCUCAACUGUCUAGAUGCAUAAGCAACAAAUCUACCUUCUUGCAUAAGAACACAACCCAAACCCAGACGAGAAGCAUCACAAUAGAUAGAGAAACUCUUACUCAGAUCUGGCAAAACCAACACAGGGGCAGUAGUCAAUCUCUUCUUGAACUCCUCAAAACUAGCUUGACACUUAUCAGACCACACAAACUUAGCAUUCUUCUCCAAUAGAGCAGUCAUAGGCUUUGCAAGUUUUGAGAACCCUUCAAUGAAUCUACGAUAGUAACCAGCUAAACCAAGAAAACUGCGAAUUUCACUUACAUCUGUAGGUGGUUUCCAAUUCAACACAUCUUUCACCUUACUAGGAUCCACUGCAAUACCACCAUUAGAGACAACAUGACCAAGAAAAGAAACUUCCUCUAACCAAAACUCACAUUUACUACGCUUAGCAUACAACUUAUGUUCUCUAAGUUUCUGUAAGACCAAUCUCAGAUGUUCAGCAUGUUCUUCCUUGGUUUUAGAGAAUACCAGAAUAUCAUCAAUAAAGACCACCACAAACUUAUCAAGAUACUCCAUAAAUACUUUAUUCAUCAUGUACAUAAAGUAAGCUGGUGCAUUGGUCAAACCAAAAGACAUAACUGUAUACUCAUAUAACCCAUACCUUGUUGUGAAAGCUGUCUUUGGUAUAUCUGAAUUCCGAAUCUUCAAUUGAUGAUAACCAGAACGCAGAUCAAUCUUAGAGAACACACAAGCACCUCUUAGCUGAUCAAAUAAGUCAUCAAUCCUAGGCAAUGGAUAUUUAUUCUUGAUAGUGACCUCAUUAAGUGACCGAUAAUCAACACACAUCCUCUGACUACCAUCCUUCUUAUCAACAAAGAUAACUGGUGCACCCCAUGGUGAUGAACUAGGACGAAUGAACCCUUUAUCUUGCAAUUCCUUAAUUUGUUUCUUAAGUUCUUCUAGUUCUUUAACCCCCAUUCUAUAUGGUCUUUUAGCUAUGGGUGCAGUACCAGGUAGUAAUUCAAUAAUAAAUUCAAUGUCUCGGUCAGGUGGCAUACCUGGCAAUUCAUCUGGAAAGACAUCCGAAAACUCAUCCACUACCAGAUUCGGAGGAUCAACAUCAUCCGUCAGUUGGUUCACUUUAGCUGUGAGUGGUGCUUGCAUUGUUACAUCAACACUGAUUCUUUCUCCCUUUGGUGUUGUCAGAGCCACUACUCUCUCUUUGCAAUUAAUAUUUGUCGCAUGUUGCUUCAUCCAAUCCAAACCCAAGAUCACAUCUAUGCCUGAGGUUCUCAUAACCAUGGGACUGAUAGGAAAAUCUACCCCCCUUAAAGAAAGACUUGCUGAGGGGCAACGUAAAGAAACUGGUAUAGUCCCACCCGGUGAAUUAACUAGCAUAGGUGUUUUCAUUGCAACUAGUGGAAGGCUAUGAACUCUAACAAAAGCUUGUGAUAUAAAAGUAUGCGAAGCUCCAGAAUCAAAUAAAACGGUAGCAGGGAUAGAGUUGAUGCUGAACGUACCCAUCAUAAUCUCUGGUCCCUCCUGAACUGUCUCCGUAGCCACAUUGUUCACUGUUACUGCAUAAGCAGUAGACUUCUGGUUGUUCUGCUUGUUAAACUUCUCAGGACAAUCGUAUGACAUAUGCCCUUCCUUUCCGCACUGGAAACACCUCGUAGGAGUGUUGGAAGCACUUCUUUUCAUGGGGGUAGCACCUGAAUUCCCGGUGCGAGGUGUUUGCUGACUAAACUGCUGCUGUCGAGGGUUACGUUGCUGGAAUGAAGGACGUUGGUUCCCACUCUGCGACUGAUUCUGGAAACGCUGGGGUUGCUGGUUACGGUUCCACUGACUAACUGGUCCCUGGAACCUCUGCGGAUGGCCUUGGUGAGAACUGAAACGCUGACGGUUGUUGCUCCCAGAUCCUUGUGCCAGCAUCCUUCUCUUCUUAUCCUGGCCCUUCCGCAUAUUAUCAAGCACGAUAGCACGAUUCACAAGAGCUUGAAAGGUAGGGUAAGUGUUUCCUGCCAACUGCAACCUGAGUUCAUAGUACAAGCCCUUCAUGAAUAGACGCUGCUUAUCAGCAUCUUCCCUGACAUCAUUCGGAGCAUAGCGAGCCAACUGUUCAAAGGUGUCAUGAUAUUCUGCUACAGUCAUGGAGCCCAUCCUGAGUGAUCUGAAUUCUUCUUGUUUGAGCUCCAUCACUCCUUCAUUUAUAUGUCGAGCUCUGAAGUCCCUACAGAAUUCCAGCCAUGUGACAGGAGAAGCAUUGUUGGGACGAGCAGCUUGAUAUGACUCCCACCAUGUUUGAGCUGCCCCCUGAAGCUGUCCAGAAGCAUACAACACCUUCUCCAAAUCAUUGCACUGUGCUAUGUUCAGUUGCCUCUCCACAGCACGUAACCAAUCAUCUGCCUCCAUGGGAUCAGCUGAGUGUGUAAAUACCGGAGGUCUUCCCUUCAUAAACUCUCCCCGCUUGUCCCUCACAUGAACAGGUGGUGGUGUUGGUGGGGGUUGUUGCUGCAGGUGCUGCAUGAAAACGUGCAUCAUCUGAUUUUGGGUUUGCAUGAGUUCCUCCACGGUGAUUGGGGCAUUGCCACCAUUGCCAUUGUCAUUGCCAUUGCCACGGCCCCUGCCUCUGCCUCUUCCCCUUGCUGCCAUCUGCAUUCCAAGGUACAUAAACACAUCUUAGUAACGUCCAAUAUGACAAUUACAAGAGUUAACGGAAUCUGAAAUUUUCUGGGUAACAUCCAACAUCAGCAGGUCGGAACAUCAGUCAUAUCUCGAGAUCCAGAAUUCAAAAGGAUACAUGCUGUACACCGUUGGAAAGAUAAAGAAAUUGUCUACAACUUUCAUUUAGAUCAUAUUACCAGAUUCCAACGUUAGUUUAAUCAAAAACUGUGUGCAACCGAAACUGUUCCAGAAUUCCAGACUGCGCAGAAACCUCAACUUUAAACAGUCAUAACUCACAUCUCAUAAUAGAUGAUAUGAUCAUUCUUGUGGCAUUGGAAAGAUAUGAAAGUCUACUUAUUCCCAGAAAAAUUUGAUGAACAUUGCACGAACAGAAUUUGAUUUAUUCCAGAAUCAUGGCAGACUGCUCCAGAAAACAGCAAAAGACAGAAACAGGAUAUGACCCCAAACUACUAUUUAUUCAUGUUCUUACUUAAGGUUCUUAAUUAGAGAACUUGUGGACAUGCCCACAAAUUCCCAGCACUCAUUACAAAAAUCCAAAUCACACAUAUUCAGAAUAACAAAUCAGCAAGCACACCAAGUUCACACCACACUAGCAAAAGACUCGAAAUAACUCGCAACUACUAACGUUACUAUUACAUAUGGGUUCUUUUUCUAUUCCUCGGGUGCAGCAUCCUUCAAGAUGGGUUCAACAUGCAGCCUCUUAUGAAGUUUGGGGCGGCCUAACUCCGCUCGGAGGUCAUCCGCUUCCCUUUGCUCUUUCUCCAGCAGCUUCCUCUCACGGUGUAGUUCAUUCUCCAACUCUAUCACCUUGAGUGUCAGCUCAUAAGUCAACUCCACUUGUGCUUGAAGCUUUGGUUGUGAAGCAUCUGCAACUUCUAUGGCCCAAGUCAUCUUCUCUGGUACAAAGCGAGGAUAGUGGUAUGUUGCAUUGUACUGAACAUCCUCAAAGCGUCUACCACGGUAAAAGAUCAAGGCCUGGUAAGCUGCAUCUGCCAUGCUCUCUCUCAUCGUGUCCCGGCUGAUUCGAGCGAUGUGUUUGGAUUCCACCUUUCGAAUCCCCUUGGUGGCAUCCAGUGUCUUGACUAUCAGCUCUGCAACCCAAAGUGAUCUCCUCAGCGGGUGUUUGUGCUCAGUGCAGUUAUACUCCAGUGUGGCUUGCAAAUCCGGGUAAUGGUGUUUCAAUGUUAACACCAAAUUCUCAUGGAAGAAGGCCUUGGGAUCUGCUUCUGGAAUCCACAGCUCAGUAGUCCAUCCCAUCCUUGCAUUAGCAGACUGUGGUGGAGGUGGAUCUUGCAUCUCCUCAUCCUCAGGCCCUUCCUCCUGAGCUUCCACCCUUGAUUCCUCGUCUUCCAGCUCAGGAACUCCAUCCACAUGCUGUCCUCCUAGGUUGAACAUGGCACGGUACUCCUCAGCAGCCAUGCGUGCAGCACUACGGGUACGGGGCGGCAUCUACAAAAAAGUUUUUAGACAUAGAUCAGAUGGAUGCAAUAAUUUCACAACAGAGCAAGAUAGAGAAGCAUAAACUUUUAGCAAUUAACAAGACCAUAGUGGGAAGCAUGAAGUAAGUAAAAUAAGGACCUAAAUUUUUUGACCCUUUGCUAACUAGGUUUGCGUCCUACAGUCAACAAAGCUUUGAUACCAAUUUGUCACACCCAUAUUUUAAGAACAAAAUAGGAUGCAUAAAAGACUCAUAUGUGCCCCAGAAACAGUCGCACACAUAAGUAGACAAAUCUCAAAUGUACCAUCGCAGUGUUUAUUACAUAGCGGAAUAUAAAAUAUCACAUAGUCUCAUACAAAAAUGAUAGCAUAAAGUAAACAACGCUCUCGACGGAAGCUCCACACAGGGACACUGUUGACUGGUUGACUCCAAACCUAGUACUCAUACCGAUAAUCCUCAUUCCAGUCAUCUUCAUUAUCAUACCCUGAGGUGUUGGGAGAUUGCAAGAGUGAGCACAUAUCGUACUCAACAAGUAUAACCAGGGGUUCAUGAGGCUCAAAUAGCUGACACUGGUUUGACUGCAAUUAGCUUUUAAUAGUGGAUAGCAUGUUCAUAAUUAAUGAGCAAUUGUCAAGGAAGCAUAAAUAAUCCAUUAAUCCCAUGAUCAAAUGUAAGCAUAGUUAAUCUCAUAGCAUAAACGAUAAUCAAAUGAACAUAAUAACAUAACAAGCUCAUCAUCUUAAUGUAGAUGUCCCCAAGGCCGCUCCUGACCGUGAGCUCGGCUAGUAUACCAGUUUUACACUCUGCAGAGGUUGUACAUCUUUACCCAUGAGUCAUGAUUUACCCUUUCGCCCGAGGUAGCUAAUCUCUUAACCCCCUUCCCAGGGAGGUCGGCAGGGAUCACUAUGAAGCCUUUCAAAAGUUCGUCUAACAAGUUAGGGCCGCAAGGUUUCCUUUGCGCGCAGAUAUAGAGCCCCCCUUCCGAUGGCACAAUGACUCGCAGCCUAUACUCAUACAGACAGAGGCCACACUAUACCCAAAACGGUUCAGCCCCUCCGCCCUCUCGGGUAACCGCUAACAAGCUAGAAAAGGGCUUCAUACUGAGCUAAAGCCAGAGCCAUAAUAGCCCUCAUGGUUGCACUGUUAUCCCGGGUGAUCACGUACAGACAAGAUCUCAUACAGUUAUUUGUCAUUCUUUUAUGUUCAUUGCAUAGCUAUUAAUCAUCUUACAAGAUCAUGGAUUAUAUCAAGCACUAGCACAUCUACACCAAAUGCAUAUCAAGUAGGUAGCAAGGAAUACAGGUAACAAUCAUCUAUGAUUUUGCUAAGGUCGACAAGGUGAUAGCAUGCAUAUGAUAUAUAUGUAUCUAUAAGUGAAUAGGUAACAAGGAUGAUCCCAAGUUAUACUUGCCUUGCUCAAAGCUCUCCUGAGCCUGCUGGUCCUCAAAAGCUUGGUCUUGGUCACCAACGUACGGCUCACCGUCUAAUCCCAAUCAUCAAACAACAACACGCAAAUCCAAUGUAGACAAUCAUACACGAAGCAAACAAGAUAUAAUUAGAACAAUACACCAAACAGUGGUAAAACAAAUAUAAAAGUUUAUCAAAAUAUUCUACGCAGCGCUACGAUCACACAAACGUAAAGUUCACGAAAAUCGGAAUUAAAACGUGAAAGAUAUGAAUUUUCUAAGAUUUCCUAUAGCGAAAUAAUCAAUUAAAUAGUACUGCAGAAUUAAAAAGUUUCCAAACAGUAAACUAAUAUUUCUAACGUGUAGAGAUCGUAAAUACGAAACCAAUGGAAUUUGAAUGGACAAAAACGGAGUUAAAAUGAUCAUUUUAUAAGCAUUAUAAAUUCAGUGGCAAAACUGUAAAUAUUAGAAACAUAAUCUGAGCUGAACCGAUCCUGAAUACGCUUUCAAACUCAGAAAGCGUAAUCCAUCAAAGGCGCUAAGGGCUGCGGGUGGAUUCCUGGAAAGUCCCAGGGACUCUUUAGCAAAAUAUACGCCGAACCGGUAUCUUCUAAUCCUGGCCUUGGAUUCUCCAUCGGACGGCUGACGAUCGCCAGGGGGAAAACAGCGGCGGCCGGCCGCCUGAGCACAGGAACGGCGCGGCGGCGCCAUGGAUAGGCUCAUCGGAGCUCUCGGUUUUCCCGCUCCCGAGCACCAAAACGCGAAAGAACAACUCCGGGAGGUCGAGGGGGAGGAGGCGAACCCACCUAGGCGGUUUGCUCGAGCCGAGAGAGGGCGAGGAGGGUGUGCCACGGCGGCGGAUGAAACUUCGCUCGGCGAGAUCCGAAACGCAAUACUCGAGGCGGCUAGGGCUUGGAAAAACGCUCGGGUGGAAAAAAACAAGGCACGGGGCGUCACGGGGAACUAUAUAGGGGUUUGAUUCGCGCCAAACGGCAAGAAAUCACGGCCCCAAGAUCCGGUUUGGCGUGGAGUUUGUGUCCAGCUCGAGCACGGCUGGGGGAGGGAGACGGCGCUGACGCGCGGGUCCCGCGUCGCAGUGAGAAGGGCGGGGAGGGAAGCUGGGCCGCUCGCUGGGCCGACGCAAGGGGACAGGGCGCGCGCGGCCUGGCCUGCUGCUGGGCUGUGAGCGCUGGGGAAAGUGGGCCGAGCGCGAUGCGGGAGAACAGGCCGGGGGGAAACCGCUGGGCUUCGGCCACUGGCCCAGGCCGAGGUCAGUGGUGUGCAUUUUUUUUUUCUUUUUUUUUUUCCAAAGUCUUUUCUAAAUAGAGUUUUGAAUGUAAUUAAAUUUUAGCCAAGGUAAAUCAACACAAAGUAAAAUAUGAUCCAGCAUGAAUGCACAGUCAAGGUUACUAAACCUAUGAUAAAUUUUAUGUCAACAAGAUUAUUCAUUCACUAAAUUAAAUACCCACAAAAAUACUUAAUUAAAUCAAAUUAAAUCCUAUUAAUUCAAAAUCAAAUUUUGGGUGUUACAUCGUCCCUGAGUAAUGAUAAUCUCAGCGAUGGAUCAUAAGUUGUUGUAAUGCCUUUAAAAAUUGACGGUACACAUGCUUUUUAAAUAAGAUCUCAUCUCUGAGUUAGAGUAAACUAUCAAGACUUAAAACUUACUUAUUUCACCUUUUACCAUGGGACUUGUAACCGUUACUUCCUUCUUGAGUAGUUAAAAGAUAGAACGGUCUAAUCAAGUGUCAUGUCUCUUAUUCUUGAUCAGCUAUAGCUCUAGAGUUUUUGCAGAUUUUCAAAUAAAACUCAAAGAUUCCUUGUAUGACUCUUUCAAAUCUCUCUUUUGUGGUAUUUCUGGAUCCUCACCAAGGCAGUGAUGCUACAUGCCUUCUCUCAAAAUAUGUGGUAUUUGUGGUAUAAGGCAUAGUGAUAUUGUCUUCUCUCUCACCCUACUCUAAUAGGGCUUUUGAUAUCUGGAGCUCAUAGGUGGGAAAUAAAGUAUACAUACUUACAAGACAAUUAUUGCAUAGUCAAACCAUAGAUCCAAAGAAACAAAUCAAUAAGUCAAAUCAAGAUGUGCAUGUGUGGCGAAUGAAUGGUGUAUGGUGAUGAUGGUGAUAACAAUGGUGAAAGUCUACUUUUGCUCUUUUGAGGGGAUACAUACCUUCCUUGCUUUUUGAAACUUUUUGGGAGAAUGAGAUGCUCUUCUUUUCUUUUUUUCUUUUCUCUCAGGUGGGUAUCUUGUACCCCUAAUUCUACUGUCGGACACUUGUCUAUUUUUACCUCUCGUCUCACUUUUUCUUUUCCUUCGAGGUUCCGGGCAUUUGCCCCUUUUUAUUUCCUCGUAUCUUUUUUUUAGAGCACUCAUCUCUUGAGAUAAUAUAGCAAGUGGUAGUAACAAGAUAACUUGAGCAUUUAUUUCACAGGAGAAAAACAGAAAUGUUUUUGGCCUUUCUCUCCCGGAUUAGGAGUAGAAUAUUUUUGGGUGGUUCUGGAGAUGGAAAUGAGUGGAUAUAUGUGGAUGGUACUUCCGGAGUAGAAGCAGCAUAUGUGAGUGAACGUGCAAGUGAAUCUUGAUUUAACCACAUGACAAGCUCCUAAGGGUCUACACAGCUUGACCACACUCAAUGCUCAUAAGCAGUAAAUAGUAAAUGUGUGGCUCAAAGUCUACCAAGCAUGUAUAUAUGGCUGUAGUAAGAAUUUAAACUCUCAUCAUACAGGAACUCAUCAUGUAAUAUUUUAAAGAUUUUAAAAGAUAGACUUCUCCAGAAUUCUAGCAUCUCUAGAAACAGAUAAACUGCAGCUCAACCUUCCCAUAUCGUAUCCGUUAACAACUUAGACUUCAGAUCAAGUUUUCUUCCCACAAGUUUAGGUUUAGAGCAAGCUUUAAAUUAUAACAGUUAUGUCUAAACUAGAGAGAAAACUCAAAUUUGAAAAUUAGGCAGAGCAACUAUUUAUUAUAUCCAUGCUAGAGUUUUAUUAAGAUUCAGUUUAGCAUAGCCAAUUUAUUUAUUUAUU